UUUUUUUUUUGUGGCGAACACGCAAAAGGCUUGCGUGCCGAUGUAUUAGAUGAAGGGGCCUAGAUCUAUUAAAACAUGUUAUGAUUUGGCGGAUCUCAUCAGGUUUCAAAAGUACAAAUUUGGCAUGAUAACCAGAUGAUGGAUUGGUAAAAGUGUCAGAUUUGAGGUUGCGUUCAUGUCUUCACUGAGUAUUUCCACUCGCACGGCGCCCUCAGGGACUUGAAAUAGUGCCUCAUAAGGGUGAGCCAGCGUUAUUUUCGCCGUGAGGGCGGUCGGGUUCCCACUCGCCGUUCCAAGUUGGCCCUCCGGACGCUUUUUUAUUAAAUUAGUUCGGCUGAAUUUGGACGAAAUUCAUUCAUAUUCAUAUUUGCACAUAAUUUGAAAGACACAACCUAAAAAAACCCUAAAACUACGCUACCACCCACCUUCGUCCCGAGCCUUCUACAUGCCGAGGAGAUUGUAGAAGGCGGUGUGGACGCGUGGCCGGACGGGGCGGGGCGUGCGGUGGCGCGCCUGCGCGCUCGUGAGAAAUCAAUGGAAGGCUGACCGUCGACAACCUUGGCAUUGAUUCCCCGUGAGAAACUGAGGUGAUGAGAACGACGAGCGCGCCUAGUCGCUGACUCGGCGGGUCCACCAGGCUUUCGCGCUAAAAAUGUUUCCCCCAGCGCCCCCGGGCGCCCCAGCGCGCCGGGUUUGGCCUGGGUCCGCCAACAUCAAAUUCGGACCUAACCGGCAAAAAGUGGGCUUUUGGGAGCACGACUUAGCCUUUUCUUAGCGCCGGCGAUAAAAAAGGGCCUUAGGGGGGCCUGUUGGAGGGGCAAGUGUAGAUGCUCUAAGCCGGUUGAAGACAUAGGAGGGACCGGUGAUGAUUGGUUUAUUUGAAGCAUUUUUCUCCCACAUGAUGUUGGAGUUGUACUAAGGAAUAUACUACUUGGCAUCGGGAGAAGAUAGCCUUCAUUCUAAAAUAUAGUGCGUCCGCGCUUUCCGAGAUUCAACUUUGAUCGUAAAUUUAACUAGCGAGACCGACUGCGGUGGGAGAAAAAAUUAUAUAAUUGAAAACUUCUUUUGAAUACGAGUUCACUGGUAUAACUUUUGCUCCCGCCGCAGUUGGUCUCGUUGGUUAAAUUUAUGGUCAAAGUUGAAGCAUGAGAAUAAAAAAAGCACUAUAUUGUGGAAUGGAGGGAGUAUUUCUUAGUGUAUAGAUAGAGCCUGUAAGUUGGAAAUGUGUGAUCGCAUCAAACUUGUGAAGCAAGGCGAAGGGAGUGUGUUUUCAAGAAAAGGGCGUAAGAUUUGGAAUUUUAUUUAGUCCGGUGAGGCGGGCAGCGUGGUGGACAGUUCUGGUGACUCUCUAAGCUGAUGGCGGUGGUCGAUUGUCGCCUUGCCCGCGGACGGGUGGCGCUGUUGGCCUCGCGUGGAUUCGCGUUGGCUGCUGUGGCGGGACGACACAUGGGGUGUCCGAUGGGGAGGUACGCUGGAGGGAUGGGAGGCGUCGACGCGGUCGGGCCACCCGUCACCAGCACAGGGGUGUGCCAGUCGUGGAUGCGUCCGCUCCCCCUCCCCCUUUCCUCGACCGAGUGCAUGCGGGCGCUGUUCCGACAAUGUCCGAGGCGGGGCGUUUGCUGCUGUUUCGUCCUUGGGGCGGCCGUUUUGGACCAAAGCCGAUGCCUUUUCGGUCUUGGGGUGUCUGGAUGGAGGGCGGCGGCCCUUGCGGCGGGAGUCGCGUUGUUCGUUGGCGGAACGUGCGUCUCAAGUGCGGGCGGGCAGCCAUGGCCAUGUGGGUGGCAUGGAUGUUGGUGUUUGGCGUAGCAUGGGUAUGCCGGAAGGGUGUGAGCGCCGGGGUACAUAACUUGUCUGGUUUUACCGGCCGUCGGUGGCGGCAUCCGCGGAUGCCGUUCCCCUUCUUGAAGGCUCCGUCGCUGUGCUCCCACUUCUCCCGGACUCCAGAUCGGACGGUGGCGAUACUCCGGUGCCGUCCCCUUCUUGGAGGCACCGUCUUGUAACCCAUGUUUCCUUCGUGUCCGGCCACCUCUCCACGGUGGCUAGCUCCUGGUGUUGGUCUCCGUCGACUCCAAGCGGUUCAUCUUGUGUAUCUGUAGUUUGUUUGGGAUCGUUGGGGUGGUGUUGCGGUGCUCUGCACCUUUGUAUCUUCCCUUGGGUGUGUGCGAGGAGUGUGGUGUUGGCGUGCGUUUGUAUCGCUUGCUCCGGUUGUUUGGUCGGUGCUUUAUAUAUAAAGCGGGGCUAAAGCCUUUUUUGGUAAAAGGUUUUUGUCUUUGGGUGGAAUCUAGCGGAGGUUGCGGUCGAAACACAAAGCAAUAUAUUGAAGAGGAGCAUAGCCUAGUGGUGGGAAGGGGUUGAUGCCUUCCCACCCACUUACAAUUUGAGUUUGUUGCACAAACUAUACUGUAGGGAUUUCCUUACAGUCUUUCUGUCAAAAAAAAUUAAAGAGGAAAAUGGAUCACACACCGGAUUUUGCUCUGUGUGGAAGGGAACCGGCAUCAUGUAGUAAUAAUGAACUGUGCAAAAUCUGUGGCGCUUCAUCAUCACAACUAAGCAGUGGGUGCUCCCACCGAAAGAGAGACUCAUGAAGAUCCGGGCAGACUGGUUGUUAGUACUGGGGUGUCGUGCAAGUGUACAAUGUUAGUUGAAGCACAAUUUCGGGAAGUAUUAUCCCCAACUUCUAUAUCACUCCAAAGAAGAGCUUACACGAGUGUGUAUGUGAGCGCUUCAAUCACACUAUGUCACUACGCUCACAUGAGUUGAAUAGUUGACCAUCCGCAAGACUUCUCAAUUAGUUAUGGAAGUGUUGAAAGUGUAGGUUUGCUAGGGAGAUUUAAAAUGUGGUAAUGUGAAAGACUGGAAAGUUCAAAGUGCAUCUCCACAAUACCCUAGUUAGUUUUGAUGAUUUAUGACAGAACCACUGAGAGGACUAAGGUUUCAUUAAGCUAUACAAGUAUAGCAUGUGCUCUUAAUGCCUACCAGAUUUGGCUACAAGUGAAGAGGUUUGUGACUCCCACAAACGACUUUUCUAGUCGUUGUCCUCGUCAAGAUCAUAGUUUGUACUUUCUGGNNNNNNNNNNNNNNNNNNNNNNNNNNNNNNNNNNNNNNNNNNNNNNNNNNNNNNNNNNNNNNNNNNNNNNNNNNNNNNNNNNNNNNNNNNNNNNNNNNNNNNNNNNNNNNNNNNNNNNNNNNNNNNNNNNNNNNNNNNNNNNNNNNNNNNNNNNNNNNNNNNNNNNNNNNNNNNNNNNNNNNNNNNNNNNNNNNNNNNNNNNNNNNNNNNNNNNNNNNNNNNNNNNNNNNNNNNNNNNNNNNNNNNNNNNNNNNNNNNNNNNNNNNNNNNNNNNNNNNNNNNNNNNNNNNNNNNNNNNNNNNNNNNNNNNNNNNNNNNNNNNNNNNNNNNNNNNNNNNNNNNNNNNNNNNNNNNNNNNNNNNNNNNNNNNNNNNNNNNNNNNNNNNNNNNNNNNNNNNNNNNNNNNNNNNNNNNNNNNNNNNACAUAGAACUGACCCUAAGACUAACUUAUUCAAAUUCACACCCUAUCCAAUCUUAUUAUGAAUUUCACUAAGCCCCCGUACAUACGAAGAUUUUCUCCCGGUACUAUCGAACCACUUUAUAGGAUUGGGUUUGAUAUAUUUUUUGAUACGCCUCCCGAAUUGGAGUCGAGUUCCACUAUAUUGCAUAAUGGAACACUAGUUCGAAAUACAAACUAAUCGUGAGCAAAAUCCCUGGAACAAAGAAGCAAAAGAAAGCUAGAUAAACUAAGAAACAAAUAUAGAGAGACGGCAUUAUCAAGCAGUAACAACACACAACAUGUUGCAAAACAAACCACGAUGAAUGUAUCGAUUGCAUGCAGCUAGGAAAAGAGCAGACAUGGAAUGAAUGGUCAGAUGGUCCGUAGACCACAAUCAGUGCAACUAAUUGUGUUAUGCUGUAAUAACUCCAUGCUGACAAAAUGGUGGCCCAUAUAUGGUGCAAUUGGAUAUCUCAAAGUAGAGAACUUAGAAAUGUUAAUAGACAUGAAAAGCACCAAACAUUUGAUAGCNNNNNNNNNNNNNNNNNNNNNNNNNNNNNNNNNNNNNNNNNNNNNNNNNNNNNNNNNNNNNNNNNNNNNNNNNNNNNNNNNNNNNNNNNNNNNNNNNNNNNNNNNNNNNNNNNNNNNNNNNNNNNNNNNNNNNNNNNNNNNNNNNNNNNNNNNNNNNNNNNNNNNNNNNNNNNNNNNNNNNNNNNNNNNNNNNNNNNNNNNNNNNNNNNNNNNNNNNNNNNNNNNNNNNNNNNNNNNNNNNNNNNNNNNNNNNNNNNNNNNNNNNNNNNNNNNNNNNNNNNNNNNNNNNNNNNNNNNNNNNNNNNNNNNNNGGGUCGAUGACAUCAUUUGAGGCGAAGUCGCCGCAUGCGACAUGGACGUCGCACACGAGACAUUCCAUGCAUGUGUUGGUGAACUCCACGCUGUAGGCCGGUAUGCCGCCCGCCAUGCUCGGCGCGUUGAUCUGGAACACCUCCAGGAGAUCCUUUGAGCACUCCUCCAGCUCCAACGGCUCCGUCGAGCGCCCUCCUCCGCCGCUCGAUGACAUGGAAGGUGCACUGACGCUGAGCAUCUUGCGCAUCUGAUGCCGAGGCAGCUGCAGCUGCAGCGAGGAAGACGCUGAUGCUAGCAAGAACAAGAAGCAAAACUAGUGAGCCAAAAGAUGAGGAAUUAACAUGCAUGCAUGCAGUUCUAUAUAUACGUACUUAAGGUACAUACCUUGACUACCUUCAUAGCAAGCUUGGAGCAGAAACAUGGUGAUGACGACCACAACAGCAGCACUUGGACGCGUCUGAAAGCACGCCAUGGCCGGCGCCUUCGUGUUCUCCUCCUGAGCGACGUGAGCGUGGAUAGAGUAGUUGGUUCUUCUCCUCUUCGGCCCUGCUAGCCUACUUAUACUACUAGUGGCUUCUCCAUCCAGACUUAAAUUGUAUCCCAACGUAUUUGGACUAUGGUCAACAAAUAAAAUGUGUUUAGACUAAAAACACUUAUACUACGAGUGGUGAAGUACCACCACUUCUUUUUUUGUCCUGGUGAGUGCCACACCACUAGUACUCGUAGCAAGUUCGCUUGGCGAAUUAAACGCCGGCGCAGCUGGUACACGUCGAGCCGCAAUUUAGGGCCUCUCUAGUACCGUAGUACGCGGAUUUGUAAAGUGUAAACCAUAAGAAUGGAGUAGUCUUCAAGUACUACAACAGGCCGGAUUAGUAUGGUUGUUUGAUUGUGGGAAGAACACACUUAAGAUAAAACGCAGUAUUCUAGUAGAGAUGCUCUUAAACACACUCCAUUAGCCCUUAGACAUAGGAUUUCUUCACAUGAGGUUUUCGAAGGAACAACUGGAGAUGCUAUGUCACCAUCUUGAGUACAUGCACCAGCUCAGGUCUUAGGACAUAGAACAUAUGUUGUACUAGAGACUUACAUAUGACAUAUCGUUGCGUCUCAUAGUCAGGUCUAUCUGACUCGGACCUUAUCUCAACUCGGAUCCAACUAUGUCGAAUCCGACUAGAUCCUUCUGAGCCCAUAUUAUGUGGCUAGCAUCCAAUGCUCCAUGGCUAGUGAGACCGAGCCAUCCACCGUGUCAUAUGCUAGUCUAGUCAGCUACGCGUCUACACAACCCUUUCGACUAGGGACCUUUUAGAACAAUCACCAUACAAUGCAUAGUCCCACAAACAAGUCAUGUACUUAUUGAUACACAUCAUUGAUAAUAUCCAAGGACUAUCUUUAUUCAUAAACACAUAGAAAAUAUCAUCAUACAUGAUUGCCUCUAGGGCAUAUCUCUAAUAGGCACACGGUCUUGGGACGCGUCCUAAGCUCCACCCAUGGAAGGGACCCUCGUGGGGGUUGUGGAUGUCGGUUGGAGCUCUUCUUUCACCGCAAUAGUGCUAAUUUUAUGGAAAAAACUCACCUUAAAAUUUCAACCCGAUCGAAGUUACGGAUCUCCGAAUAUUUAAGAAAUGGUGCUCGACCUCAAAAACAAUACUGAAACAGAGAAGAAACAAAGAGAAGCAAGAGCAGAGAGAUCCAAUCUAGGAGGGGCUCUCGCCCCCGGGAUCCAUGGAGGCCAAGGACCAGAGGGGGAAACCUUCUCCCAUCUAGGGGGGAGGCUAAGGAAGAAUAAGAAGGAGGGGCCUCUCUCCCCCUCUCUCAGUGGCGCCGGAGCGCCAGAGGGGGAAUCAUCAUAGCGACGAUCGCCUCCAUCAACUUCGUUGUUGCCAUCGACAUAUUUAUCUCUCUCUACAAAGUGGAGUACUCUCCCUCAACCCGUUAUAGUUCCUACUUGAACAUGGUGUUGGAUGUUAUAUAUAAUUAUCUAAUGAUGUGUUGCAUCUCUAUUAUGUCUGAGUAGUUUGUUUUUGUCCUAUGGGUUAAUGUGAUAUGUUAUGGUUGAUUUGAGCUGUAUGUUAUUAUGGUGCUAUCCUAUGGUGCCCAGCAUUUGCACGCACGCGUGGGAUCCCACUGUAGGCCAGUGUUGCAAUAUGUGAUUGAUUUUCUUAUGGUGGGUUGUUGGAGUGACUGAAACAAGAACUCAUGUUCGUGAUUUGUUGCACAUGGGACUAAAGAGGACCUUAGAUCUUAAUGCUAUGAUUGGAUUUUACCUCAAUGGAUCUUUGGUACUUGCGAUGCUUACUAGAGUUUCAAUCAUAAGUGCUAGUAGUCAAUGGAUUUCGCUACACGUUAGCGUAGGCCUCUCCCACAUAAAAAACUACAAUAGAUGAUGAUCACGUUAGUUUCAUAUUCUAUUUCCUAGGUACAAUCCUUUACUUUAUUGUUCUUCUACAAAUCAGCAACUAAUUUUUAUUUACAAGUUCUUAUUAUCUUGCACAGAUUCUAUUUAUACCUGGAAAGUAGAUUUAUUUCUUGAUUCUAGAUAAAACAAACAGCUGGUGUGCAUAGGGUUGUAUCAAUAGUUGAUAUAAUCUUACAGAAUACAAAUUUUACAUUUAGCUCCUUGUUGAGUUUGACACACUUACUUAUCAAAAAGACUAUAAUUGAUGGACGCGAACGUUUGGUCUAUGGGUGUAUCUACAUCCUAUAUGAAAAAAAUUGUAAUUAAAUAAAAAGUCAGCAAAAUCUAAAAAUAUUUUGAAAUAAACUUGACCUUUCAUUGUAUUUGUGAAAGAUUGCACAAAAAUAAAAACCCCUUUGACUUCUUUAAAAAAAUCCGGCCAAAAUAGUGCGAAUAGUGACCUAUAAUAGCAAAUAAAUUUUAUUUUCUACCCUGCUGCUUUUAUAUUCGUGAAAUUUUAUAUAAUAAUGCAAAAGAAAGUCAAGUUUAUUCUAAAAAAACUUCUAAACUAUUUUGAAUUUUUUGAAAUUAUUAAUUAUUUUUCCUCAUAUAGGGUGUAUACACAACUAGGAUGUUGGAAAUAUGCCCUAGAGGCAAUAAUAAAAUGGUUAUUAUUAUAUUUCUUUGUUCAUGAUAAUUGUCUAUUAUUCAUGCUAUAAUUGUAUUAUCCGGAAAUCGUAAUACACGUGUGAAUACAUAGACCACAACAUGUCCCUAGUGAGCCUCUAGUUGACUAGCUCGUUGAUCAACAGAUAGUCAUGGUUUCCUGACUAUGGGCAUUGGAUGUCAUUGAUAACAGGAUCACAUCAUUAGGAGACUAAUGUGAUGGACAAGACCCAAUCCUAAGCAUAGCUCAAAGAUCGUGUAGUUCGUUUAGCUAGAGCUUUUCCAAAUGUCAAGUAUCAUUUCCUUAGACCAUGAGAUUGUGCAACUCCCGGAUACCGUAGGAGUGCUUUGGGUGUGCCAAACGUCACAACGUAACUGGGUGACUAUAAAGGUGCACUACGGGUAUCUCCGAAAGUGUCUGUUGGGUUGGCACGAAUCGAGACUGGGAUUUGUCACUCUGUAUGACGGAGAGGUAUCUCUGGGCCCACUCGGUAAUGAAUCAUCAUAAUGAGCUCAAUGUGACCAAGUGUCUGGUCACGGGAUCAUGCAUUAUGGUACGAGUAAAGUGACUUGCCGGUAAUGAGAUUAAACGAGGUAUUGGGAUACCGACGAUCGAAUCUCAGGCAUGUAACGUACCGAUUGACAAAGGGAAUUGUAUACGGGAUUGCUUGAGUCCUCGACAUCAUGGUUCAUCCGAUGAGAUCAUCGAGGAGCAUGUGGGAGCCAACAUGGGUAUCCAGAUCCCGCUGUUGGUUAUUGACCGGAGAGGCAUCUCUGUCAUGUCUGCAUGUCUCCCGAACCCGUAGGGUCUACACACUUAAGGUUCGGUGACGGUAGGGUUGUAGAGAUAUGAGUAUGCAGUAAACCAAAAGUUGUUCGGAGUCCCGUAUGAGAUCCCGGACGUCACGAGGAGUUCCGGAAUGGCCCGGAGGUAAAGAAUUAUAUAUAGGAAGUGAAGUUUCGGCCAUCGGGAAAGUUUCGGGGGUUACCGGUAUUGUACCGGGACCACCGGAAGGGUCCCGGGGGUCCACCAGGUGGAUCCACCUAUCCCGGAGGGCCCCAUGGGCUGAAGUGGGAGGGGAACCAGCCCCUAGUGGGCUGGUGUGCCCCCCUUGGGAACCCCUGCGCCUAGGGUUGGAAACCCUAGGGGUGGGGGGCGCCUCCACUUGCCUUGGGGGGCAAGCCACCCCCCUGGCCGCCGCCCCCCCUUGGAGAUCCCAUCUCCUAGGACCGGCGCCCCCCUAGGGGGCCUAUAUAAAGAGGGGGGAGGGAGGGCAGCCGCACCCAUGCUCUUGGCGCCUCCCUCUCCCCUUGCUACACCUCUCCCUCUCGCAGAAGCUUGGCGAAGCCCUGCCGAGAUCGCUGCUGCAUCCACCACCACGCCGUCGUGGUGCUGGAUCUUCAUCAACCUCUCCUUCCCCCUUGCUGGAUCAAGAAGGAGGAGACGUCUUCCUCAACCGUACGUGUUUUGAACGCGGAGGUGCCGUCCGUUCGGUUCUAGGAUCUCCGGUGAUUUGGAUCACGACGAGUACGACUCCCUCAACCCCGUUCUCUUGAGCGCUUCCGCUCGCGAUCUACAAGGGUAUGUAGAUGCACUCCUCUCUCUCGUUGCUAGAUGAACUCAUAGAUUGAUCUUGGUGAAAGCGUAGAAAUUUUUUAUUUUCCGCAACGUUCCCCAACAGUGGCACCAUGAGCCAGGUCUGUGCGUAGUUCUCAUUGCACGAGUAGAACACAAAUUUGUUGUGGGCAUAGAUGUUGUCAACUUUCUUGCCACUACUAGUCUUAUUUUGCUUCAGCGGUAUUGUGGGAUGAAGCGGCUUGGACCGACCUUACACGUACGCUUACGUGAGACAGGUUCCACCGACUGACAUGCACUAGUUGCAUAAGGUGGCUAGCGGGUGUCUGUCUCUCCCACUUUAGUUGGAGCGGAUUCGAUGAAAAGGGUCCUUAUGAAGGGUAAAUAGAAGUUGGCAAAUCACGUUGUGGCUUUAACGUAGGUAAGAAAACGUUCUUGCUAAAACCCUAUUGCAGCCACGUAAAACAUGCAACAACAAUUAGAGGACGUCUAACUUGUUUUUGCAGCAUAUGAUUUGUGAUGUGAUAUGGCCAAAAGUUGUGAUGAGUGAUGAAUGAUAUAUAUGUGAUGUAUGAGAUCAUGUUCUUGUAAUAGGAAUCAUGACUUGCAUGUCGAUGAGUAUGACAACCAGCAGGAGCCAUAGGAGUUGUCUUAACUAUUGUAUGACCUGCGUGUCAAUGAUUUAACGCCAUGUAAUUACUUUACUUUAUUGCUAAACCGUUAGCCAUAGUAGUAGAAGUAAUAGUUGGCGAGCAACUUCAUGGAGACACGAUGAUGGAGAUCAUGAUGAUGGAGAUCAUGGUGUCUUGCCGGUGACGAAGAUGAUCAUGGAGCCCCGAAGAUGGAGAUCAAAGGAGCAAUAUGAUAUUGGCCAUAUCAUGUCACUAUUUGAUUGCAUGUGAUGUUUAUCAUGUUUUUGCAUCUUGUUUACUUAGAACGACGGUAGUAAAUAAGAUGAUCCCUCAUAAUAAUUUCAAUAAAGUUUUCCCCUAACUGUGCGCCGUUGCGAAAGUUCGUUGUUUCGAAGCACCACGUGAUGAUCGGGUGUGAUAGAUUCUAACGUUCACAUACAACGGGUGUAAGACAGAUUUACACAUGCAUAAACACUUAGGUUAACUUGACGAGCCUAGCAUGUACACACAUGGCCUCGGAACACAAGAGACCGAAAGGUCGAACAUGAGUCGUAUGGAAGAUACGACCAACAUGGAGAUGUUCACCGAUGAUGACUAGUCCGUCUCACGUGAUGAUUGGACACGGCCUAGUCGACUCGAAUCAUGUAUCACUUAGAUGACUAGAGGGAUGUCUAAUCUAAGUGGGAGUUCAUUAAAUAAUUUGAUUAGAUGAACUUAAUUAUCAUGAACUUAGUCUAAAAUCUUUACAAUAUGUCUUGUAGAUCAAAUGGCCCACGUUACCCUCAACUUCAAUGCGUUCCUAGAGAAAACCAAGCUGAAAGAUGAUGGCAGCAACUAUACGGACUGGGUCCGGAACCUGAGGAUCAUCCUCAUAGCUGCAAAGAAAGAUUAUGUCCUAGAAGCACCGCUAGGUGAAGCACCCAUCCCAGAGAACCAAGACAUUAUGAAUGCUUGGCAGUCUCGUGCUGAUGAUUACUCCCUCGUUCAGUGCGACAUGCUUUACAGCUUAGAACCGGGGAUCCAAAAGCGUUUUGAGCAACACGGAGCAUAUGAGAUGUUCGAAGAGCUGAAAAUGGUUUUCCAAGCUCAUGCCCGGGUCGAGAGAUAUGAAGUCUCUGACAAGUUCUUCAGCUGUAAGAUGGAGGAAAAUAGUUCUGUCAGUGAGCACAUACUCAAGAUGUCUGGGUUGCACAACCGCUUGACUCGGCUGGGAGUUAAUCUCCCGGAUGACACGGUUAUUGACAGAAUCCUCCAGUCGCUUCCACCGAGCUACAAGAGCUUCGUGAUGAACUUCAAUAUGCAGGGGAUGGAAAAGACCAUUCCUGAGGUAUAUUCAAUGCUGAAAUCAGCGGAGGUAGAGAUCAAGAAAGAACAUCAAGUGUUGAUGGUGAAUAAAACCACUAAGUUCAAGAAAGGCAAGGGUAAGAAGAACUUCAAGAAGGACAGCAAGGGAGUUGCCGCGCCCGGUAAGCCAGUUGCUGGGAAGAAGUCAAAGAAUGGACCCAAGCAUGAGACUGAGUGCUUUUAUUGCAAGGGAAGUGGUCACUGGAAGCGGAACUGCCCCAAGUACUUGGCGGACAAGAAGGUCGGCAACACUAAAGGUAUAUGUGAUAUACAUAUAAUUGAUGUGUACCUUACCAGUAUUCGUAGUAGCUCCUGGGUAUUUGAUACCGGUGCGGUUGCUCAUAUUUGUAACUCAAAGCAGGAACUGCAGAAUAAACGGAGACUGGCGAAGGACGAGGUGACGAUGCGCGUCGGGAAUGGUUCCAAGGUCGAUGUGAUCGCCGUCGGCACGCUACCUCUACAUUUACCUACGGGAUUAGUUUUAAACCUCAAUAAUUGUUAUUUAGUGCCAAGUUUGAGCAUGAACAUUGUAUCUGGAUCUCGUUUAAUACGAGAUGGCUACUCAUUUAAAUCCGAGAAUAAUGGUUGUUCUAUUUAUAUGAGAGAUAGGUUUUAUGGUCAUGCCCCGAUGGUCAAUGGUUUAUUCUUAAUGAAUCUCGAACGUGAUGUUACACAUAUUCAUAGUGUGAAUACCAAAAGAUGUAAAGUUGAUAACGAUAGUCCCACAUACUUGUGGCACUGCCGCCUUGGUCACAUUGGUGUCAAGCGCAUGAAGAAGCUCCAUGCUGAUGGACUUUUAGAGUCUCUCGAUUAUGAAUCAUUUGACACAUGUGAACCAUGCCUCAUGGGCAAAAUGACCAAGACUACGUUCUCCGGAACAAUGGAGCGAGCAACCAACUUAUUGGAAAUCAUACACACUGAUUUGUGCGGUCCAAUGAGCGUUGAGGCUCGCGGAGGAUAUCGUUAUGUUCUCACUCUCACUGACGACUUGAGUAGAUAUGGGUAUGUCUACUUGAUGAAACACAAGUCUGAGACCUUUGAAAAGUUCAAGGAAGUUCAGAAUGAGGUAGAGAAUCAACGUGACCGAAAGAUAAAGUUCCUACGAUCAGAUCAUGGAGGAGAAUAUUUAAGUCAUGAAUUUGGUACGCACUUAAGGAAAUGUGGAAUCAUUUCACAACUCACGCUGCUUGGAACACCUCAGCGUAACAAUGUGUCCGAACAUCGUAAUCGCACUUUAUUGGAUAUGGUGCGAUCUAUGAUGUCUCUUACCGAUUUACCACUAUCUUUUUGGGGAUACACUCUAGAGACAGCUACAUUCACUUUAAAUAGGGCACCGUCUAAAUCCGUUGAGACGACACCGUAUGAAUUAUGGUUUGAGAAGAAACCUAAGCUGUCAUUUCUAAAAGUUUGGGGAUGUGAUGCUUAUGUCAAGAAACUUCAACCUGAAAAGCUCAAACCCAAGUCGAAAAAAUGCGUCUUCAUAGGAUACCCUAAGGAAACCAUUGGGUAUACCUUCUACCUCAGAUCCGAAGGCAAGAUCUUUGUUGCCAAGAACGGGUCCUUUCUGGAGAAAGAGUUUCUCUCGAGAGAAGUAAGUGGGAGGAAAGUGGAACUUGAUGAAGUACUACCUCUUGAACCGGUGAGUAGCGCAACUCAGGAAAAUGUUCCUGUGGUGCCAGCACCAACUGAAGAGGAAGUUAAUGAUGAUGAUCAAGGUACUUCGGAUCAAGUUACUACUGAACUUCAUAGGUCCACGAGGACACGUUCCACACCAGAGUGGUAUGGCAACCCUGUCCUAGAAAUCAUGUGGUUAGACAACGGUGAACCUUCGAACUAUGAAGAAGCGAUGGCGGGCCCAGAUUCCAACAAAUGGCUUGAAGCCAUGCAAUCCGAGAUAGGAUCCAUGUAUGAAAACGAAGUAUGGACUUUGACAGACUUGCCCGAUGAUCGGCGAGCGAUAGAAAACAAAUGGAUCUUUAAGAAGAAGACGGACGCAGAUGGUAAUGUUACCAUCUAUAAAGCUCGACUUGUCGCUAAGGGUUAUCGGCAAGUUCAAGGGGUUGACUACGAUGAGACAUUCUCUCCCGUAGUGAAGCUAAAGUCUGUCCGAAUCAUGUUAGCAAUUGCCGCAUACUAUGAUUAUGAGAUAUGGCAAAUGGACGUCAAAACGGUAUUCCUUAACGGUCAUCUUAAGGAAGAACUAUAUAUGAUGCAUCCGGAAGGUUUUGUCGACCCUGAGAAUGCUAACAAGGUAUGCAAGCUCCAGUGAUCCAUUUAUGGGCUGGUGCAAGCAUCUCGGAGUUGGAACAUUCACUUUGAUGAGAUGAUCAAAGCGUUUGGGUUUAUGCAGACUUAUGGAGAAGCCUGCGUUUACAAGAAAGUGAGUGGGAGCGCAGUAGCAUUUCUCAUAUUAUAUGUAGAUGACAUACUUUUGAUGGGAAAUGAUAUAGAACUCUUGGACAUCAUUAAGGCCUACUUGAAUAAGUGUUUUUCAAUGAAGGACCUUGGAGAAGCUGCUUACAUACUAGGCAUCAAGAUCUAUAGGGAUAGAUCGAGACGCCUCAUAGGUAUUUCACAAAGCACAUACCUUGAUAAGAUAUUGAAGAAGUUCAAUAUGGAUUAGUCUAAGAAGGGGUUCUUGCCUGUGUUACAAGGUGUGAAAUUGAGCUCAGCUCAAUGCCCGACCACGUGAGAAGAUAGAGAAAAGAUGAGUGUCAUCCCCUAUGCCUCAGCUAUAGGGUCUAUUAUGUAUGCCAUGCUGUGUACCAGACCUGAUGUAAACCUUGCCGUAAGUUUGGUAGGAAGGUACCAAAGUAAUCCCGGCAUGGAACACUGGACAGCAGUCAAGAACAUUCUAAAGUACCUGAAAAGGACUAAGGAUAUGUUUCUCGUUUAUGGAGGUGAUGAAGAGUUCGUCGUAAAGGGUUACGUCGAUGCUAGCUUCGACACAGAUCUGGAUGACUCUAAGUCACAAACCGGAUACGUGUAUAUUUUGAAUGGUGGGGCAGUAAGCUGGUGCAGUUGCAAGCAAAGCGUCGUGGCGGGAUCUACAUGUGAAGCAGAGUACAUGGCAGCCUCGGAGGCAGCGCAUGAAGCAAUCUGGGUGAAGGAGUUCAUCACCGACAUAGGAGUCAUACCCAAUGCGUCGGGGCCGAUCGCACUCUUCUAUGAUAACACUGGAGCUAUUGCACUUGCCAAGGAGCCCAGGUUUCACAAGAAGACUAGGCACAUCAAGCGUCGCUUCAACUUCGUUUGUGAAAAUGUUCAAGAUGGAGACAUAGAUAUUUGUAAAGUACACACGGACCUGAAUGUAGCAGAUCCAUUGACUAAACCUCUCCCUAGAGCAAAACAUGAUCAACACCAGAAUUCCAUGGGUGUUCGAUUCAUCACAAUGUAACUAGAUUACUGAACUCUAGUGCAAGUGGGAGACUGUUGGAAAUAUGCCCUAUAGGCCAUAAUAAAAUGGUUAUUAUUAUAUUUCUUUGUUCAUGAUAAUUGUCUGUUAUUCAUGCUAUAAUUGUGUUAUCUGGAAAUCAUAAGACAUGUGUGAAUACAUAGACCACAACAUGUCCCUAGUGAGCCUCUAGUUGACUAGCUCAUUGAUCAACAGAUAGUCAUGGUUUCCUGACUAUGGGCAUUGGAUGUCAUUGAUAACGGGAUCACAUCAUUAGGAGAAUGAUGUGAUGGACAAGACCCAAUCCUAAGCAUAGCUCAAAGAUCGUGUAGUUUGUUUAGCUAGAGCUUUUCCAAAUGUCAAGUAUCAUUUCCUUAGACCAUGAGAUUGUGCAACUCCCGGAUACCGUAGGAGUGCUUUGGGUGUGCUAAACGUCACAACGUAACUGGGUGACUAUAAAGGUGCACUACGGGUAUCUCCAAAAGUGUCUGUUGGGUUGGCACAAAUCGAGACUGGGAUUUGUCACUCUGUAUGACGGAGAGGUAUAUCUGGGCCCACUCGGUAAUGCAUCAUCAUAAUGAGCUCAAUGUGACCAAGUGUCUGGUCACGGGAUCAUGCAUUAUGGUACGAGUAAAGUGACUUGCCGGUAAAGAGAUUAAACGAGGUAUUGGGAUACCGACGAUCGAAUCUCGGGCAUGUAACGUACCGAUUAACAAAGGGAAUUGUAUACGGGAUUGCUUGAGUCCUCGACAUCAUGGUUCAUUCGAUGAGAUCAUUGAGGAGCAUGUGGGAGCCAACAUGGGUAUCCAGAUCCCGCUGUUGGUUAUUGACCGGAGAGGCGUCUCGGUCAUGUCUGCAUGUCUCCCAAACCCAUAGGGUCUACACGCUUAAGGUUCGGUGACGCUAGGGUUGUAGAGAUAUGAGUAUGCAGUAAACCUAAAGUUGUUCAGAGUCCCAGAUGAGAUCCCGGACAUCACGAGGAGUUCCGGAAUGGUCCGGAGGUAAAGAAUUAUAUAUAGGAAGUGAAGUUUCGGCCAUCGGGAAAGUUUCGGGGGUUACCGAUAUUGUACCGGGACCACCGGAAGGGUCCCGGGGGUCCACCGGGUGGGGCCACCUAUCCCGGAGGGCCCCAUGGGCUGAAGUGGGAGGGGAACCAGCCCCUUGUGGGCUGGUGUGCCCCCCUUGAUCCCCCCUGUGCCUAGGGUUGGAAACCCUAGGGGUGGGGGGCGCCUCCACUUGCCUUGGGGGGCAAGCCACCCCCCUGGCCGCUGCCCCCCCUUGGAGAUCCCAUCUCCUAGGGCCGGCGCCCCCCUAGGGGGCCUAUAUAAAGAGGAGGGAGGGAGGGAAGCCGCACCCAUGCUCUUGGCGCCUCCCUCUCCCCUUGCUACACCUCUCCCUCUCGCAGAAGCUUGGCGAAGCCCUGCCGAGAUCGCUGCUGCAUCCACCACCACGCCGUCGUCCUGCUGGAUCUUCAUCAACCUCUCCUUCCCCCUUGCUGGAUCAAGAAGGAGGAGACGUCUUCCUCAACCGUACAUGUGUUGAAUGCGGAGGUGCCGUCCGUUCGGCGCUAGGAUCUCUGGUGAUUUGGAUCACGACGAGUACGACUCCCUCAACCCCGUUCUCUUGAACGCUUCCUCUCGCGAUCUACAAGGGUAUGUAGAUGCACUCCUCUCUCUCGUUGCUAGAUGAACUCAUAGAUUGAUCUUGGUGAAAGCGUAGAAUUUUUUUAUUUUCUGCAACAUUCCCCAACAUAGGAACCAAGGGGUAUUCCCCUACAAUUAAUCUCCUACACUUGUGGGUUAUCAAAAGACGAUUAAGAGGAACCAUGUUAAAAUUUCCCUCGAAAACUAGGCAAAAUGAAGUUUAGAUUUCCAAAAGAAAGCGAGAAAUAGCAAAUGGAAUGUUUUAGUGAAUUGACUUUAUGGGAACUGGUUAGUAUGUAGGCUAAAAACAGGAUGUUUUGGGAGUUAGAGCAUAUACAACCGGACCCUCCAUACCCGCCUCAAAUGCCCGGGCGGGCUGCCCGAUAAAUGUCCGGUCGAAAAAAACGUCACCCAACCGGGCUCCCCAUAGCCGUCCCAAACGUCCAGACUAACUGGAACUCCAUAUACCUGGCCCAUAUCUGGGGCGGAUAUUGGGACGCAAGAACGUGCCCGCCACCUUGGACUGACCGUUAGUGUCCGCGCUAAUUUGCCCAUAUCCGCGCUGAUACGUCUCCAACGUAUCUAUGUUUUUUGAUUGUUCCAUGCUAUUAUAUUACCCAUUUUGGAUGUUUAUGGGCUUUACUUUACACUUUAUAUCAUUUUGGGGACUAACCUACUAACCGGAGGCCCAGCCCGAAUUGCUGUUUUUUUGCCUAUUUCAGUGUUUUGAAGAAAAGGAAUAUCAAACGGAGUCCAAAUGGAAUGAAACCUUUAGGAGAAAUCUUUUUGGAAUAAUCGCAAUCCAGGAGACUUGGAGUGGACGUCAAGAAGUAGCCGAGGCGGCCACGAGGGUGCCAGGCGCGCACCCCACCCUCAUGGGCCCCUCGUGGCUCCCUUGACCGACUUAUUUCGCCUAUAUAUACCACCAUACCUUGAAAACAUCCAAGAGCACCACGAAACCCUAUUUCCACCGCCACAACCUUCUGUAUCCGUGAGAUCCCAUCUUGGAGCCUUCAUCGGUGCUCCGCCGGAGGGGGAAUCAAUCACAGAGGGCUUCUACAUCAACAUCAUAGCCUCUCCGAUGAGUUGUGAGUAGUUUACCACAGACCUUCGGGUCCAUUAUUCAUGCUAUAAUUGUAUUGUUGCCAUUGAGGAUAAAAAGAUGGGGUUUAUAUCAUAUUGCUUGAGUUUACCCCUCUACAUCAUGUCAUCUUGCUUAAUGCGUUACUCUGUUCUUAUUUACUUAAUGUUGGAAAUAUGCCCUAGAAGCAAUAAUAAAAUGGUUAUUAUUAUAUUUCCUUAUUCAUGAUAAUUGUCUAUUGUUCAUGCUAUAAUUGUAUUGACUAGAAGCCGUAAUACAUGUGUGAAUACAUAGACCACAACAUGUCCCUAGUGAGCCUCUAGUUGACUAGCUCGUUGAUCAACAGAUGGUCAUGGUUUCCUGACUAUGGACAUUGGAUGUCAUUGAUAACGGGUUCACAUCAUUAGGAGAAUGAUGUGAUGGACGAGACCCAAUCCUAAGCAUAGCACAAGAUAGUGUAGUUCGUUUGCUAAAGCUUUUCUAAUGUCAAGUAUCAUUUCCUUAGACCAUGAGAUCUUACAACUCCCGGAUACCGUACGAAUGCUUUGGGUGUACCAAACGUCACAACGUAACUGGGUGGCUAUAAAGGUGCACUACAGGUAUCUCCAAAAGUGUCUGUUAGGUUGGCACGAAUCGAGACUUGGAUUUGUCCCUCCGUAUGACGGAGAGGUAUCUCUGGGCCACCUCGGUAAUGCAUCAUUAUAAUGAUCUCAAUGUGACUAAGUAGUUGGUCACGGUAUCAUGCAUUACGGAACGAGUAAACUGACUUGCCGGUAACGAGAUUGAACGAGGUAUUGGGAUAUCGACGAUCGAAUCUCGGGCAAGUAACGUACCGAUUGACAAAGGGAAUUGUAUAUGGGAUUACUUGAAUCCUUGACAUCGUGGUUCAUUCGAUGAGAUCAUCGUGGAACAUGUGGGAGCCAACAUGGGUAUCCAGAACCCGCUGUUAGUUAUUGGCCGGAGAGCUGUCUCGGUCAUGUCUGCAUGAUUCCCGAACCCCUAGGGUCUACACACUUAAGGUUCGAUGACGCUAGGGUUAUAAUGAAGAUUUGUAUGUGAUUACCGAAUGUUUUUCGGAGUCCCGAUGAGAUCCCGGACGUCGCGAGGAGUUCUGGAAUGGUCCGGAGGUGAAGAUUUAUAUAUGGGAAGUCAUCAUACAGUCACCAGAAAUAUUCGGGGGUAUACCGGUAUUAUACCGGGACCACCGGAGGGGUUCCGGGGGUCCACCGGGAGGGGUUCCGGGGGUCCACCGGGAGGGUCCACCUGCCCCGGAGGGCCUUAUGGGAUGUAGGUGGAAGGGAACCAGCCCCUAGGUGGGCUGCGCGCCACCCUCCCUAGGGCCCAUGCGCCUAGGGUUGGGGGGGGGGGGAACCCUAAAGGGGGCGCCCCCCUUGCUUGGGGGGCAAGCCCCCUCCCACUUGGCCGCCGCCCCCCUCUAGAUCUCAUCUAGAGGGGCCGCCCCCUUCCCCCUUCUCCCUAUAAAUAUAGGGGUGGAGGGAGGUGUGCAACACCACAUCUAAGGCGCAGCCCCUUCCCUCCUCACCACCUCUCCUCCUCCGCGUGAGCUUGGCGAAGCCCUGCCGGAGAACUGCCACUCCAUCACCACCACGCCGUCCUGCUGCUACUGGAGCUUUCUUCCUCAACCUCUCCCUCCUCCUUGCUGGAUCAAGGCGCGGGAUACUUCACCGGGCUGCACGUGUGUUGAACGCGGAGGUGCCGUUGUUCGGCGCUUAGAUCGGAAUCCACCGCGAUCUGAAUCGCUACGAGUACGACUCCUUCAUCCGCGUUCUUGUAACGCUUCUGUCUCGCGAUCUUCAAGGGUAUAAAGAUGCACUCCCCUCUCUCUCGUUGCUAGUUACUCCAUAGAUUGAUCUUGGUGAUGCGUAGAAUUUUUUUAAUUUCUGCAACGAUCCCCAACAGUGGCAUCAUGAGCUAGGUCUAUGCAUAGUUUCUAUGCACGAGUAGAACACAAGUUGUUGUGGGCGUCGAUUUUGUCAAUUUACUUGCCACUACUAGUCUUAUCUUGAUUCGGCGGAAUCGUGGGAUGAAGCGGCCCAGACCGACCUUACACGUACGCUUACGUAAGAGAGGUUCCACCGACUGACAUGCACCAGUUGCAUAAGGUGGCUAGCGGGUGUCUGUCUCUCCCACUUUAGUCGGAUCGGAUUUGAUGAAAAGGGUCCUUAUGAAGGGUAAAUAGCAAUUGGCAUAUCACGUUGUUGUUUUUGGCGUAGGUAAGAAACGUCCUUGCUAGAAACAUAUAGCAGCCAUGUAAAAACAUGCAACAACAAUUAGAGGACGUCUAACUUGUUCUUGCAACAUAUGUCGGGUGAUGUGAUAUGGACAAAGGAUGUGAUGAAUGAAAUAUAUGUGAUGUAUGAGAUUGAUCAUGUUCUUGUAAUAGGAAUCACGACUUGCAUGUCGAUGAGUAUGACAACCGGCAGGAGCCAUAGGAGUUGUCUUAAUUUAUUGUAUGACCUGCGUGUCAUUGAACAAUGCCAUGUAAUUACUUUACUUUAUUGCUAAACCGUUAGCCAUAGUAGUAGAAGUAAUAGUUGGCAAGACAACUUCAUGAAGACACGAUGAUGGAGAUCAUAGUGUCAUGCCGGUGACGAUGAUGAUCAUGGCACCCCGAAGAUGGAGAUCAAAAGGAGCAAAAUGAUAUUGGCCAUAUCAUGUCACUAUUUGAUUACAUGUGAUGUUUAUCAUGUUUUACAUCUUAUUUGCUUAGAAUGACGGUAGCAUAAGUAAGAUGAUCCCUCAUAAAUUUUUUCAAGAAAGUGUUCCCCCUAAUUGUGCACCAUUGCGAAGGUUUGUUGUUUCAAAGCACCACGUGAUGAUCGGGUGUGAUAGAUUCUAACGUUCGCAUACAACGGGUGUAAGCCAGAUUUACACGUGCAAAACACUUAGGUUGACUUGACGAGCCUAGCAUGUACAGACAUGGCCUCGGAACACAAGAGACCGAAAGGUCGAACAUGAGUCGUAUAGAAUAUGUGAUCGACAUGAAGAUGUUCACCGAUGAUGACUAGUCCGUCUCACGUGAUGAUCGGACACGACCUAGUUGACUCAAAUCAUGUAUCACUUAGAUGACUAGAGGGAUGUCUAUCUGAGUGGGAGUUCAUUAAAUAUUUUGAUUAGAUGAACUUAAUUAUCAUGAACUUAGUCUAAAAUCUUUGUAAUAUGUCUUGUAGAUCAAAUGGCCCACGCUAAUGUUGCCCUCAACUUCAACGCAUUCCUAGAGAAAACCAAGCUGAAAGACGAUGAUAACAACUAUACGGACUGGGUCCGGAACUUGAGGAUCAUCCUCAUACCUGCCAAGAAAGGGUAUGUCCUAGAUGCACCGCUAGGUGAAGCACCCGUUUUCCCAGCAACUCAAGACGUUAUGAACACCUGGCAGUCGCGUAGUGAUGAUUACUCCCUGGUUCAGUGCGACAUGCUUUACAGCUUAGAACCGGGGCUCCAAAAGCGUUUUGAGCAGCACGGAACAUAUGAGAUGUUCCAAGAGCUGAAAAUGGUUUUCCAAGCUCAUGCCCGGGUCGAGAGAUAUGAAGUCUCCGACAAGUUCUACAGUUGUAAUAUGGAGGAGAAUGGUUCUGUCAGCGAGCACAUACUCAAAAUGUCUGGGUUGCAUAACCGCUUAUCUCAGUUGGGAGUUAAUCUCCUGGAUGACGUGGUAGUUGACAGAAUCCUCCAGUCGCUCCCACCUAGCUACAAGAGCUUUGUGAUGAAUUUCAAUAUGCAGGGGAUGGUGAAAACCAUUCCAGAGGUAUAUUCAAUGCUGAAAUCAGCGGAGGUGGAGAUCAAAAAGGAACAUCAAGUGUUGAUGGUCAAUAAAAACACUAGUUUCAAGAAAGGCAAGGGUAAGAAGAACUUCAAGAAGGACGGCAAGGGGGUUGCCGCGCCCGGUAAGCCAGUUGCCGGCAAGAAGCCAAAGCAUGGACCCAAACCUGAGACAGAGUGCUUUUAUUGCAAGGGAAACGGACACUGGAAGCGGAACUGCCCCAAGUACUUAGCGGACAAGAAGGCCGACAACACCAAAGGUAUAUGUGAUAUACAUGUUAUUGAUGUGUACCUUACCAGUACUCGUAGUAGCUCCUGGGUAUUUGAUACCGUUGCGGUUGCUCAUAUUUGUAACUCAAAGCAGGAGCUGUGGAAUAAGCGGAGACUGGCGAAGGACAAGGUGAUGAUGCUCGUCGGGAAUGGUUCCAAGGUCGAUGUGAUCGCCGUCGGCACGCUACCUCUACAUUUACCUACAGGAUUAGUUUUAAACCUCAAUAAUUGAUAUUUAGUGCCAGCUUUGAGCAUGAACAUUGUAUCUGGAUCUCGUUCAAUAUGAGAUGGCUACUCAUUUAAAUCCGAGAAUAAUGGUUGUUCUAUUUAUAUGAGAGAUAUGUUUUAUGGUCAUGCCCCGCUGGUCAAUGGUUUAUUCUUAAUGAAUCUCGAACGUGAUGUUACACAUAUUCAUAGUGUGAAUACCAAAAGAUGUAAGGUUGAUAAUGAUAGUCACACAUACUUGUGGCACUGCCGCCUUGGUCACAUUGGUGUCAAACACAUGAAGAAGCUCCAUGCAGAUGGACUUUUGGAGUCUCUUGAUUACGAAUCAUUUGACACAUGCGAACCAUGCCUCAUGGGCAAAAUGACCAAGACUCCGUUCUCCGGAACAAUGGAGCGAGCAACCAACUUGUUGGAAAUCAUACAUACUGAUGUGUGCGGUCCAAUGAGUGUUGAGGCUUGCGGAGCCUAUCGUUAUGUUCUCACCCUCACUCAUGACUUAAUUAGAUAUGGGUAUGUCUACUUGAUGAAGCACAAGUCUGAGACCUUUGAAAAGUUCAAGGAAUUUCAGAAUGAGGUAGAGAAUCAACGUGACCGAAAAAUAAAGUUCUUACGAUCAGAUCGUGGGGGAGAAUAUUUGAGUCACGAAUUUGGUACGCACUUAAGGAAAUGUGGAAUUGUUUCACAACUCACGCCGCCUGGAACACCUCAGCGUAAUGGUGUGUCCGAACGUCAUAAUCGCACUCUAUUGGAUAUGGUGCGAUCUAUGAUGUCUCUUACCGAUUUACCGCAAUCAUUUUGGGGAUACACUCUAGAGACAGCUACAUUCACUUUAAAUAAGGCACCGUCUAAAUCCGUUGAGACGACACCGUAUGAAUUAUGGUUUGGGAAGAAACCUAAGCUGUCGUUUCUAAAAGUUUGGGGAUGCGAUGCUUAUGUCAAGAAACUUCAACCUAAAAAGCUUGAACCCAAGUCGGAAAAAUGCGUCUUCAUAGGAUACUCUAAGGAAACCAUUGGGUAUACCUUCUACCUCAGAUCCGAAGGCAAGAUCUUUGUUGCCAAGAAUGGGUCCUUUUUGGAGAAAGAGUUUCUCUCGAAAGAAGUAAGUGGGAGGAAAGUAGAACUUGAUGAAGUACUGCCUCUUGAAGCGGAAAGUAGCGCAGCUCAGGAAGAUGUUUCUGUGGUGCCUGCACCGGCUAGAGAGGAAAUUAAUGAUGAUGAUGAAGGUACUUCAGAUCAAGUUGCUACUGAACUUCAUAGGUCUAAAAGGACACGUUCCACACCAGAAUGGUAUAGCAACCAUGUCCUGGAAAUCAUGUUGUUAGACAACGGUGAACUUUUGAACUAUGAAGAAGCAAUGGCGGGCCCAGAUUCCAACAAUUGGCUUGAAGCCAUGCAAUCCGAGAUAGGAUCCAUGUAUGAAAACAAAUUAUGGAAUUUGACGGACUUGCCCGAUGAUCGGCGAGUGAUAGAAAACAAAUGGAUCUUUAAGAAGAAGACGGACGCGGAUGGUAAUGUUACCAUCUAUAAGGCUCGGCUUGUUGCUAAGGGUUAUCGACAAGUUCAAGGGGUUGACUACGAUGAGACCUUCUCACCCGUAGCGAAGCUGAAGUCCGUCCGAAUCAUGUUAGCAAUUGCCGCAUUCUAUGAUUAAGAGAUAUGGCAAAUGGACGUCAAAAUGGCAUUCCUUAAUGGCUUCUCUAAGGAAGAAUUGUAUAUGAUGCAGCCGGAAGGUUUUGUCGAUCCUGAGAAUGCUAACAAGGUAUGCAAGCUCCAAUGCUCCAUCUAUGGGCUGGUGCAAGCAUCUCGGAGUUGGAACAUUCACUUUGAUGAAAUGAUCAAAGCGUUUGGGUUUAUGCAGACUUAUGGAGAAGCCUGCGUUUAUAAGAAAGUGAGUGGGAGCUCUAUAGCAUUUCUCAUAUUAUAUGUGGAUGACAUACUAUUGAUGGGAAAUGAUAUAGAACUUUUGGAAAGCAUAAAGGCCUACUUGAAUAAGUGUUUUUCAAUGAAGGACCUUGGAGAAGCUGCUUACAUAUUAGGCAUCAAGAUCUAUAGAGAUAGAUCGAGACGCCUCAUAGGUGUUUCACAAAGCACAUAUAUUGAUAAGAUAUUGAAGAAGUUCAAUAUGGAUCAGUCCAAGAAGGGGUUCUUGCCUGUAUUGCAAGGUGUGAAAUUGAGCUCGGCUCAAAGACCGGCCACGGCAGAAGAUAGAGAAAAGAUGAGUGUCAUCCCCUAUGCCUCAGCCAUAGGGACUAUUAUGUAUGCCAUGUUGUGUACCAGACCUGAUGUAAACCUUCCCGUAAGUUUGGUAGGAAGGUACCAAAGUAAUCCCGGCAUGGAACACUGGACAGCAGUCAAGAAUAUCCUGAAGCACCUGAAAAGGACUAAGGAUAUGUUUCUCGUUUAUGGAGGUGACGAAGAGCUCGUCGUAAAGGGUUAUGUCGAUGCUAGCUUCAACACAGAUCUGGAUGACUCCAAGUCACAAACCGGAUACGUGUAUAUUUUGAAUGGUGGGGCAGUAAGCUGGUGCAGUUGCAAGCAAAGCGUCGUGGCGGGAUCUACAUGUGAAGCGGAAUACAUGGCAGCCUCGGAGGCAACACAUGAAGCAAUCUGGAUGAAGAAGUUCAUUACCGACCUAGGAGUUAUUCCCAAUGUAUCGGGACCGAUGAAUCUCUUCUGUGACAACACUGGAGCUAUUGCCCUUGCCAAGGAGCCCAGGUUUCACAAGAAGACCAGACACAUCAAGCGUCGCUUCAACUCCAUUCGUGAAAAUGUUCAAGAUGGAGACAUAGAUAUUUGUAAAGUGCAUACGGAUCUGAAUGUUGCAGAUCCGUUGACUAAACCUCUUCCACGAGCAAAACAUGAUCAACACCAGAACUCUAUGGGUGUUCGAUUCAUCACAAUGUAACUAGAUUAUCGGCUCUAGUGCAAGUGGGAGACUGUUGGAAAUAUGCCCUAGAGGCAAUAAUAAAAUGUUUAUUAUUAUAUUUCCUUAUUCAUGAUAAUUGUCUAUUGUCCAUGCUAUAAUUGUAUUGACUGGAAGCUGUAAUACAUGUGUGAAUACAUAGACCACUGUUGGAAAUAUGCCCUAGAGGCAAUAAUAAAAUGAUUAUUAUUAUAUCUCCUUGUUCAUGAUAAUUGUCUAUUAUUCAUGCUAUAAUUGUGUUAUCCGGAAAUCAUAAUACAUGUGUGAAUAAAUAGACCACAACAUGUUCCUAGUAAGCCUCUAGUUGACUAGCUCGUUGAUCAACAGAUAGUCAUGAUUUCCUGACUAUGGACAUUGGAUGUCGUUGAUAACGGGAUCACAUCAUUAGGAGAAUGAUGUGAUGGACAAGACCCAAUCCUAAGCAUAGCACAAGAUCAUGUAGUUCGUUUGCUAGAGCUUUUCCAAUGUCAAGUAUCAUUUCCUUAGACCAUGAGAUCGUGUAACUCCCGGAUACCGUAGGAGUGCUUUGGGUGUACCAAACAUCACAACGUAACUGGGUGACUAUAAAGGUAUACUACAGGUAUCCCCAAAAGUAUCUGUUGGGUUGGCACGGAUCGAGACUGGGAUUUGUCACUCCGUAUGACGGAGAGGUAUCUCUGGGCCCACUCGGUAAUUCAUCAUCAUAAUGAGCUCAAAGUGACUAAGUGGUUGGUCACGGGUCAUGCAUUGCGGUACGAGUAAAGUGACUUGCCGGUAACGAGAUUGAACAAGGUAUUGGGAUACCGACGAUCGAAUCUCGGGCAAGUAACGUACCGAUUGACAAAGGGAAUUGUAUACGGGGUUACUUGAAUCCUCGACAUCGUGGUUCAUCAGAUGAUAUCAUCAAGGAGCAUGUGGGAGCCAACAUGGGUAUCCAGAUCCCGUUGUUGGUUAUUGACCGGAGAGUCGUCUCGGUCAUGUCUGCAUGUCUCCCGAACCCGUAGGGUCUACACACUUAAGGUUCAAUGACGCUAGGGUUGUACAGAUAUUAGUAUGCGGUAACCCGAAAGUUGUUCGGAGUCCCGGAUGAGAUCUCGGACGUCACGAGGAGUUCCGGCAUGGUCUGGAGGUAAAGAAUUGUAUAUAGGAAGUCCAGUUUCGGCCAUCGGGAAAGUUUCGGGGGUCACUGGUAUUGUACCGGGACCACCAGAAGGGUCCCGGGGGUCCACCGAGUGGGGCCACCUAUCUCGGAGGGCCCCAUGGGCUGAAGUGGGGAAGGGAACCAGCCCCUGGUGGGCUGGUGCGCCCCCCUUGGGCCUCCUCCUGCACAUAGGGUUGGAAACCCUAGGGGUGGGUGGCGCCCCACUUGGCUUGGGGGGCAAGCCAACCCCUUGGCCGCCGCCCCCCCUUGAGAUCCAAUCUCUAGGGGGCCGGCGCCCCCCAGGGCCCUAUAUAAAGAGGAGGGAGGGAGGGCUGCGCACCCCUGCUCCUGGUGCCUCCCUCUCCCUCCGCACCACCUCUCCCUCUCGCUGAGCUUGGCGAAGCCCUGCCGAGAUCACCGCUACUUCCACCACCACGCUGUUGUGCUGCUGGAUCUCCAUCAACCUCUCCCUCCCCCUUGCUGGAUCAAGAAUGAGGAGACGUCUUCCCAACCGUACGUGUGUUGAACGCGGAGGUGUCGUCCGUUCGGCGCUAGGAUCUCCGGUGAUUUGGAUCACGACGAGUACGACUCCCUCAACCCCGUUCUUGAACGCUUCCACUCGCGAUCUACAAGGGUAUGUAGAUGCACUCCUCUCUCUCGUUGCUAGAUGACUCCAUAGAUUGAUCUUGGUGAAGCGUAGAAUUUUUUUAUUUUCUGCAACGUUCCCCUACAGUGGCAUCAUGAGCUAGGUCUAUGCGUAGUGUCUUUGCAUGAGUAGAACACAAAUUUGUUGUGGGCGUAGAUGUUGUCAAUUUUCUUGCCACUACUAGUCUUAUCUUGUUUCGGCGGCAUCGUGGGAUGAAGCGUCCCGGACCGACCUUACACGUACGCUUACGUGAGACAGGUUCCACCGACUGACAUGCACUAGUUGCAUAAGGUGGCUAGCGGGUGUCUGUCUCUCCCACUUUAGUCGGAUCGGAUUCAUUGAAAAGGGUCCUUAUGAAGGGUAAAUAGAAAUUGGCAUAUCACGUUGUGGCUUUCACGUAGGUAAGAAACGUUCUUGCUAGAACCCUAUUGCAGCCACAUAAAAAACAUGCAACAACAAUUAGAGGACGUCUAACUUGUUUUUGCAGCAUAUGCCUUGUGAUGUGAUAUGGCCAAAAGUUGUGAUGAAUGAUAUAUAUGUGAUGUAUGAGAUCAUGUUCUUGUAAUAGGAAUCACGACUUGCAUGUCGAUGAGUAUGACAACCGGCAGGAGCCAUAGGAGUUGUCUUAAUUAUUGUAUGACUUGUGUGUCAUUGAACAACGCCAUGUAAUUACUUUACUUUAUUGCUAAACCGUUAGCCAUAGUAGUAGAAGUAAUAGUUGGCGAGCAACUUCAUGGAGACACGAUGAUGGAGAUCAUGGUGUCAUGCCGGUGACGAAGAUGAUCAUGGCGCCCCGAAGAUGGAGAUCAAAGGAGCUAUAUGAUAUUGGCCAUAUCAUGUCACUAUUUGAUUGCAUGUGAUGUUUAUCAUGUUUUUGCAUCCUAUUUUCUUAGAACGACGGUAGUAAAUAAGAUGAUCCCUCAUAAUAAUUUCAAGAAACUGUUCCCCCUAACUGUGCACCGUUGCGAAAGUUCGUUGUUUCGAAGCACCACGUGAUGAUCGGGUGUGAUAGAUUCCAACGUCCACAUACAACGGGUGUAAGACAGAUUUACACAUGCAAAACACUUAGGUUAACUUGACGAGCCUAGCAUGUACAGACAUGGACUCGAAACACAAGAGACCGAAAGGUCGAACAUGAGUUGUAUGGAAGAUACGAUCAACAUGGAGAUGUUCACCGAUGAUGACUAGUCCGUCUCAUGUGAUGAUCGGACACGGCCUAGUUGACUCGGAUCAUGUAUCACUUAGAUGACUAGAGGGAUGUCUAAUCUGAGUGGGAGUUCAUUAAAUAAUUUGAUUAGAUGAACUUAAUUAUCAUGAACUUAGUCUAAAAACCUUUGCAAAAAUGUCUUGUAGAUCAAAUGGCUAACGCUCAUGUCAACCUCAUCUUCAACGCGUUCCUAGAGAAAACCAAGCUGAAAGAUGAUGGCAGCAACUAUUCGGACUGGGUCCGGAACCUGAGGAUCAUCCUCAUAGCUGCCUAGAAAGCAUAUGUCCUAGAAGGACCACUAGGUGAAGCACCCAUCCCAGAGAACCAAGACAUUAUGAACGCUUGGCAAUCACGUGCUGAUGCUUACUCCCUCGUUCAGUGCGGCAUGCUUUACUGCUUAGAACUGGGGCUCCAAAAGCGUUUUGAGCAACACGGAGCAUUUGAGAUGUUCGAAGAGCUGAAAAUGGUUUUCCAAGCUCAUGCCCGGGUCGAGAGAUAUAAAGUCUCCGACAAGUUCUACAGUUGUAAGAUGGAGGAAAAUAGUUCUGUCAGUGAGCACAUACUCAAAAUGUCUGGGUUGCACAACUGCUUGUCCCAGCUGGACAUUAACCUCCUGGACGAGGCGGUCAUUGACAGAAUCCUUCAGUCGCUCCCACCUAGAUACAAGAGCUUUGUGAUGAACUACAAUAUGCAGGGGAUGGUGAAAACUAUUCCUGAAGUAUUUCAAUGCUGAAAUCAGCGGAGGUGGAAAUCAAAAAGGAACAUCAAGUGUUGAUGGUCAAUAAAACCACUAGUUUCAAGAAAGGCAAGGGUAAGAAGAACUUCAAGAAGGACGGCAAGGGAGUUGCCGCGCCCGGUAAGCAAGUUACCGGGAAGAAGCCAAAGAAUGGACCCAAGCCUGAGACUGAGUGCUUUAUUUGCAAAGGGAAGGGUCACUAGAAGCGGAACUGCCCCAAAUACUUAGCGGAAAAGAAGGCCGACAACACUAAAGGUAUAUGUGAUAUACAUGUAAUUGAUGUGUACCUUACCAGUACUCGUAGUAGCUCCUAGGUAUUUGAUACCGGUGCGGUUGCUCAUAUUUGUAACUCAAAGCAGGAGCUAUGGAAUAAGCGGAGACUAGAGAAGGACGAGGUGACGAUGCGCGUCGGGAAUGGUUCCAAGGUCGAUGUGAUCGCCGUCGGCACGCUACCUCUACAUUUACCCAUGGGAUUAGUUUUAAACCUAAAUAAUUGUUAUUUAGUGCCAGCUUUGAGCAUGAACAUUGUAUCUGGAUCUCGUUUAAUAUGAGAUGGCUACUCAUUUAAAUCCAAGAAUAAUGGUUGUUCUAUUUAUAUGAAAGAUAUGUUUUAUGGUCAUGCCCCGCUGGUCAAUGGUUUAUUCUUGAUGAAUCUCGAACGUGAUGUUACACAUAUUCAUAGUGUGAAUACCAAAAGAUGUAAGGUUGAUAACGAUAGUCCCACAUACUUGUGGCACUGCCGCCUUGGUCACAUUGGUGUCAAGCGCAUGAAGAAGCUCCAUGCUGAUGGACUUUUAGAGUCUCUCGAUUAAGAAUCAUUUGACACAUGUGAACCAUGCCUCAUGGGUAAAAUGACCAAGACUCCGUUCUCCGGAACAAUGGAGCGAGCAACCAACUUAUUGGAAAUCAUACAUAUUGAUGUGUGCGGUCCAAUGAGCGUUGAGGCUCGCGGAGGCUAUCAUUAUGUUCUCACUCUCACUGAUGACUUAAUUAGAUAUGGGUAUGUCUACUUGAUGAAACACAAGUCUGAGACCUUUGAAAAGUUCAAGGAAUUUCAGAAUGAGGUAGAGAAUCAACGUGACCGAAAAAUAAAGUUCUUACAAUAAGAUCGUGGAGGAGAAUAUUUAAGUCACAAAUCUGGUACACACUUAAGGAAAUGUGGAAUCGUUUCACAACUCACGCCGCCUGGAACACCGCAGCGUAACGGUGUGUCCGAGCGUCGUAAUCGCACUCUAUUGGAUAUGGUGCGAUCUAUGAUGUCACUCACCGAUUUACCGCUAUCAUUUUGGGGAUACGCUCUAGAGACAACUACAUUCACUUUAAAUAGGGCACCAUCUAAAUCCGUUGAGACGUAACCGUAUGAAUUAUGGUUUGGGAAGAAACCUAAGCUGUCGUUUCUAAAAUUUUGGGAUGCGAUGCUUAUGUCAUGAAACUUCAACCUGAAAAGCUUGAACCCAAGUCGGAAAAAUGCGUCUUCAUAGUAUACCCUAAGGAAACCAUCGGGUAUACCUUCUACCUUAGAUCCGAAGGCAACAUCUUUGUUGCCAAGAACGGGUCCUUUCUAGAGAAAGAGUUUCUCUCGAAAGAAGUAAGUGGGAGGAAAGUAGAACUCGAUGAAGUACUACCUCUUGAACCGGAAAGUAGUGCAGCUCAGGAAGAUGUUCCUGUGGUGCCUACACCGACUGGAGAGGAAAUUAAUGAUGAUGAUCAAGGUACUUUGGAUCAAGUUGCUACUAAACUUCGUAGGUCCACAAGGACACGUUCCACACCAGAGUGGUAUGGCAACCCUGUCCUAGAAAUCAUGUUGUUAGACAACGGUGAACCUUCGAACUAUGAAGAAGCGAUGGCGGGCCCAGAUUCCAACAAAUGGCCUGAAGCCAUGCAAUCCGAGAUAGGAUCCAUGUAUGAAAACAAAGUAUGGACUUUGACAGACUUGCCCGAUGAUCGGCAAGCAAUAGAAAAUAAAUGGAUCUUUAAAAGGAAGACGGAGGCGGACGGUAAGGUUACCAUCUAUAAAGCUUGACUUGUCGCUAAGGGUUAUCUGCACAUUCAAGGGGUUGACUACGAUGAGACUUUCUCUCUCGUAGCGAAGCUGAAGUCCGUCCGAAUCAUGUUAGAAAUUGCCACAUACUAUGAUUAUGAGAUAUGGCAAAUGGACGUCAAAACGGCAUUCCUUAACGGCUAUCUUAAGGAAGAACUGUAUAUGAUGCAGCCGGAAGGUUUUGUCGAUCCUGAGAAUGCUAACAAGGUAUGCAAGCUCCAGCGAUCCAUUUAUGGGCUGGUGCAAGCAUCUCGAAGUUGGAACAUUCGCUUUGAUGAGAUGAUCAAAGCGUUUGGGUUUAUGCAGACUUAUGGAGAAGCCUGCGUUUACAAGAAAGUGAGUGGGAGCUCUGUAGCAUUUCUCAUAUUAUAUGUGGAUGACAUACUUUUGAUGGGAAAUGAUAUAGAACUUUUGGACAUCAUUAAGGCCUACUUGAAUAAGUGUUUUUCAAUGAAAGACCUUGGAGAAGCUGCUUACAUAUUAGGCAUCAAGAUCUAUAGAGAUAGAUCGAGACGCCUCAUAGGUCUUUCACAAAGCACAUACCUUGAUAAGAUAUUGAAGAAGUUAAAUAUGGAUCAGUCCAAGAAGGGGUUCUUGCCUGUGUUGCAAGGUGUGAAAUUGAGCUCGGAUCAAUGUCCAACCACGGCAGAAGAUAGAGAAAAGAUGAGUGUCGUCCCCUAUGCCUCAGCCAUAGGGUCUAUCAUGUAUGCCAUGCUGUGUACCAGACCUGAUGUAAACCUUGUCGUAAGUUUGGUAGGAAGGUACCAAAGUAAUCCCGACAUGGAACACUGGACAACGGUCAAGAAUAUCCUGAAGUACCUGAAAAGGACUAAGGAUAUGUUUCUCAUUUAUGGAGGUGACGAAGGGCUCGUCAUAAAGGGUUAGGUCGAUGCAAGCUUCGACACAGAUCUGGAUGACUCUAAGUCACAAACCGGAUACGUGUAUAUUUUGAAUGGAGGGGCAGUAAGCUGGUGCAGUUGCAAGUAGAGCGUCGUGGCGGGAUCUACAUGUGAAGCGGAGUACAUGGAAGCCUCGGAGGCAGCGCAUGAAGCAAUCUGGAUGAAGGAGUUCAUCACCGACCUAGGAGUCAUACCCAAUGCGUCGGGGCCAAUCACGCUCUUCUAUGACAACACUAGAGCUAUUGCCCUUGCCAAGGAGCCCAGGUUUCACAAGAAGACCAGGCACAUCAAGCAUCGCUUCAACUCCAUUCGUGAAAAUGUUCAAGAUGGAGACAUAGAUAUUGGCAUAGUGUAUACGGAUCUGAAUAUCGCAGAUCCGUUGACUAAACCUCUUCCGCGAGCAAAACAUGAUCAACACCAGAACUCUAUAGGUGUUCGAUUCAUCACAAUGUAACUAGAUUAUUGACUCUAGUGCAAGUGGGAGACUAUUGGAAACAUGCCCUAGAGGCAAUAAUAAAAUGAUUAUUAUUAUAUUUCCUUGUUCAUGAUAAUUGUCUUUUAUUCAUGCUAUAAUUGUGUUAUCCGGAAAUCGUAAUACAUGUGUGAAUAAAUAGACCACAACAUGUCCCUAGUAAGCCUCUAGUUGACUAGCUCGUUGAUCAACAGAUAGUCAUGGUUUCCUGACUAUGGACAUUGGAUGUCGUUGAUAACGGGAUCACAUCAUUAGGAGAAUGAUGUGAUGGACAAGACCCAAUCCUAAGCAUAGCACAAGAUCGUGUAGUUCGUUUGCUAGAGCUUUUCCAAUGUCAAGUAUCAUUUCCUUAGACCAUGAGAUCAUGUAACUCCCGGAUACCGUAGGAGUGCUUUGGGUGUACCAAACAUCACAACAUAACUGGGUGACUAUAAAGGUAUACUACAGGUAUCCCCGAAAGUAUCUGUUGGGUUGACACGGAUCGAGACUGGGAUUUGUCACUCCGUAUGACGGAGAGGUAUCUCUGGGCCCACUCGGUAAUGCAUCAUCAUAAUGAGCUCAAAGUGACUAAGUGGUUGGUCACGGGAUCAUGCAUUGCGGUACGAGUAAAGUGACUUGCCGGUAACGAGAUUGAACGAGGUAUUGGGAUACCGACGAUCGAAUCUCGGGCAAGUAACAUACCGAUUGACAAAGGAAAUUGUAUACGAGAUUACUUGAAUCCUCGACAUCAUGGUUCAUCCGAUGAGAUCAUUGAGGAACAUGUGGGAGCCAACAUGGGUAUCCAGAUCCUGUUGUUGGUUAUUGACCGGAGAGUCGUCUCGGUCAUGUCUGCAUGUCUCCCGAACCCGUAGGGUCUACACACUUAAGGUUCGGUGACGCUAGGGUUGUAGAGAUAUGAGUAUGCAGUAAACCAAAAGUUGUUCGGAGUCCCGUAUGAGAUCUCGGACGUCACGAGGAGUUCUGGAAUGGUCCGGAGGUAAAGAAUUGUAUAUAGGAAGUCCAGUUUCAGCCAUCGGGAAAGUUUCGGGGGUCACCGGUAUUGUACCGGGACCAUCGGAAGGGUCCCGGGGGUCCACCAAGUGGGGCCACCUAUCCCGAAGGGCCCCAUGGGCUGAAGUGGGGAAGGUAACCAGCCCCUGGUGGGAUAGUGUGCCCCCCUUGGGCCUCCCCCUGCGCCUAGGGUUGGAAACCCUAGGGGUGGGGGCGCCCCAGUUGGCUUGGGGGGCAAGCCACCCCCUUGGUCGCCGCCCCCCUUGAGAUCCAAUAUCUAGGGGGACGGCGCCCCCCCCAGGGCCCUAUAUAAAGAGGGGAGAGGGAGGGCUGUGCACCCCUGCUCCUGGAGCCUCCCUCUCCCUCCGCACCACCUCUCCCUCUCGCUGAGCUUGGCGAAGCCCUGCCAAGAUCACCGCUACUUCCACCACCAUGCCGUUGUGCUCCUGGAUCUCCAUCAACCUCUCCCUCCCCCUUGCCGGAUCAAGAAGGAGGAGACGUCUUCCCAACCGUACGUGUGUUGAACGCGGAGGUGCCGUCCGUUUGGCGCUAGGAUAUCUGGUGACUUGGAUCACGACGAGUACGACUCCCUCAACCCCGUUCUCUUGAACGCUUCCGCUCGUGAUCUACAAGGGUAUGUAGAUGCACUCCUGUCUCUCGUUGCUAGAUGAAUCCAUCGAUUGAUCUUGGUGAAGCAUAGAAUUUUUUUAUUUUCUGCAACGUUCCCCUACAACCACAACAUGUCCCUAGUGAGCCUCUAGUUGACUAGCUCAUUGAUCAACAGAUGGUCAUGGUUUCCUGACUAUGGACAUUGGAUGUCAUUGAUAACGGGAUCAUAUCAUUAGGAGAAUGAUUUGAUGGACAAGACCCAAUCCUAAGCAUAGCACAAGAUCAUGUAGUUCGUUUGCUAAAGCUUUUCUAAUGUCAAGUAUCAUUUCCUUAGACCAUGAGAUUGUGCAACUCCCGGAUACUGUAGGAAUGCUUUGGGUGUACCAAACGUCACAACGUAACUGGGUGACUAUAAAGGUGCACUAUAGGUAUCUCCAAAAGUGUCUGUUGGGUUGGCACGAAUCUAGACUGGGAUUUGUCACUCCGUAUGAUGGAGAGGUAUCUCUGGGCCCACUUGGUAAUGCAUCAUCAUAAUGAGAUCAAUGUGACUAAGUAGUUGGUCACAUGAUCAUGCAUUGCGGAACGAGUAAACUGAGUUGCCGGUAACGAGAUUGAAUGAGGUAUUGGGAUACCGACGAUCGAAUCUCGGGCAAGUAAUGUACCGAUUGACAAAGGGAAUUGUAUACGGGAUUACUCGAAUCCUCGACAUCGUGGUUCAUCCGAUGAGAUCAUCGUGGAACAUGUGGGAUCCAACAUGGGUAUCCAGAUCCCGCUGUUGGUUAUUGGCCGGAGAGCUGUCUCGGUCAUGUCUGCAUGAUUCCUGAACCCGUAGGGUCUACACACUUAAGGUUUGAUGACGCUAGGGUUAUACGGAAGAUUUGUAUGUGAUUACCGAAUGUUGUUCGGAGUCCCGGAUGAGAUCCCAAAUGUCACAAGGAGUUCCAGAAUGGUCCGGAGGAGAAGAUUUAUAUAUGGGAAGUCAUCAUACAGUCACCGGAAAUAUUUGAGGGUAUACUGGUAUUGUAACGGGAGCACCAGAGGGGUUCCGCGGGUCCACCGGGAGGGUCCACCUGCCCCGGAGGGCCUUAUGGGCUAUAGGUGGAUGGGAACCAGCCCCUAGGUGGGCUGUGUGCCACCCCCCUAGGGCCCAUGUGCCUAGGGUUGGGCGGGGGGGGGGGGCCUUAAAGGGGGCGCCCCCCUUGCUUGGGGGCAAGCCCCUCCCCCUUGGCCACCCCCCCUCUGUUGGAAAUAUGCCCUAGAGGCAAUAAUAAAAGGAUUAUUAUUAUAUUUCCUUGUUCAUGAUAAUUGUCUUUUAUUCAUGCUAUAAUUGUAUUAUCCGGAAAUCGUAAUACACGUGUGAAUACAUAGACCACAACAUGUCCCUAGUGAGCCUCUAGUUGACUAGCUCGUUGAUCAACAGAUAGUCAUGGUUUCCUGACUAUGGACGUUGGAUGUCAAUGAUAACGGGAUCACAUCUUUAGGAGAAUGAUGUGAUGGACAAGACCCAAUCCUAAGCAUAGCACAAAGAUCGUGUAGUUCGUUUGCUAGAGCUUUUCCAAUGUCAAGUAUCUUUUCCUUAGACCAUGAGAUCGUGUAACUCCCGGACACUGUAGGAGUGCUUUGGGUGUACCAAACGUCACAACGUAACUGCGUGACUAUAAAGGUAUACUACGGGUAUCUCCGAAAGUGUCUGUUGGGUUGACAUGGAUCGAGACUGGGAUUUGUCACUCCGUAUGACGGAGAGGUAUCUCUGGGCCCACUCGGUAAUGCAUCAUUAUAAUGAGCUCAAAGUGACCAAGUGUCUGGUCACGGGAUCAUGCAUUAUGGUACGAGUAAAGUGACUUGCCGGUAACGAGAUUGAACGAGGUAUUGGGAUACCGACGAUCGAAUCUCGGGCAAGUAAUGUACCGAUUGACAAAGGGAAUUGUAUACGGGGUUGCUUGAAUCCUCGACAUCGUGGUUCAUCCGAUGAGAUCAUCGAGGAGCAUGUGGGAGCCAACAUGGGUAUCCAGAUCCCGCUGUUGGUUAUUGACCGGAGAGCAGUCUCGGUCAUGUCUACGUGUCUCCCGAACCCGUAGGGUCUACACACUUAAGGUUCGGUGACACUAGGGUUGUAGAGAUAUGAGUAUGCAGCAAACCAAAGUUGUUCGGAUUCCCGGAUGAGAUCCCGGACAUCACGAGGAGUUCCAGAAUGGUCCGGAGGUAAAUAAUUAUAUAUGGGAAGUCGAGUUUCGGCCAUCGGGAAAGUUUCGGGGUUCACCGGUAUUGUACCAGGACCACCGGAAAGGUCCCGGGGGUCCACCUGGUGGGGCCACCUAUCCCGGAGGGCCCUAUGGGCUGAAGUGGGAGGGGAACCAGCCCCUGGUGGGCUGGUGCACCCUCCCCUGGGCCCCCCUCUGCGCCUAGGGUUGGGAACCCUAGGGGAGGGGGCGCCUCCACUUGCCUUGGGGGGCAAGUUUCCCCCUUGGCCGGCGCCCCCCCCCCCUAGGAGAUCCCAUCUCCUAGGGCCGGCGCCCCCCUGGGGUCCCUAUAUAAAGAGGGGGGUGGGAGGGCAGCCGCACCCUGACACCUGGCGCCUCCCUUCCCCCCUUGCUACACCUCUCCCUCCCGCAGACGCUUAGCGAAGCCCUGUCGGAUCCCUGCUGCAUCCACCACCACGCCGUCGUGCUGCUGGAUCUUCAUCAACAUCUCCUUCCCCCUUGCUGGAUCAAGAAGGAGGAGAUGUCACGCUGACCGUACGUGUGUUGAACAUUGUCGGAGUAAUGGGCCACGGGUAGGCUAACCCGAGCCCCAGGACAUUUCAAGACAUCAGGGCAGGCCGCGCCCCUCAGGCCGAGUCCCAGGAGCGACUCCAAAAUAUGCCGAGUCCCAAACAGCGACUCCCAGAUAAGCCGACUCCAAGCUGGCGACUUCCAGAGAGGCCAACUAUGGAGAGUCGGCCCAAAGACUCCUCCCUUAUCCUGAAGUACGACGCGGGGUACGGUCACGGCAUGGCCGUUUCCCCCUGCUUACGAAGGGCUGGCAUGGCUACAGUGAGCCAUAUCACUGGAAGAUCUCCGGUGAGAUGCGGCACUGUUGCCAUGCCUGCCCUGAUCUCAGCCACAGUACGCAGUACACUGUGCCCACGACGCCGGCCUGUACGACCCAAAGGCGGUGGGGCCGCCUGUCAGUGGGUGGGCCGAAGGCGACCUGGGCAACCCGAAGACGGACCUGUGGGAGUCGGCCUCCCUGGAGUCGGCCGACUCCUCCCGGGGCCCCACGAGCCAUUAAUCAGAUAAGAUGGGGAAUGGUGAUAGUGAUCGCCCGAUAGACGGCGGCACUGUUGCCACGAUUCGAUGACCGAGCCUGCGUCAUCAGGAGUGCCGCUACAGUAUCAAGCCUGUCCGCGGGACCCGCCAGUCGGCGGGCCCCAGAAGCCGGCGGGAAGGACGGCGGCCUGAGAGACAGACGGCUAGGACCCGCGCCCAGCCGGAUUACUAUUGUACCCCCGGGGGGUAGGCGUAUAUAAACCCCCCGGGGCACCCAUGCAAAGGGUUCGGACCUAGAAAGAGAGAUAGACCAGAUAGCCCAGGGAAGAGAGAGCUAGCCUUGCCCUCUCCUACCUCCCGAAACAGCUCCAGGAGCACCAUUGUAGUCACUUUGCUUUAGUGAUCAUGCGGAGACCCCGCAGAGCAGCAGUAGGGGUGUUAUCUCCUAGGAGAGCCCUGAAGCUGGGUAAGUUCCGCCAGCGUGCAUGUCUUCGCCUCAUCCCGCUUCCAGGCACCGGCGACGUUCUACUCGCUCCCACCAUGAUAAGCCAUCCUUUGGCAUAUGUCGUAUCCAACCCCCGACAUUUGGCGCCCACCGUGGGGCGAGGUGCACCGUCGUCCGGAGAUCUGCUCUGGACGGGAACCCUAUUCCUCCCCGGCGAGCACAGCCAGCCCGGCACGCCGGACGGCGUCUGUGCCGACGCGCUACACGGUGCUGAGAUCGCCUGUGCAGCCAGCUGCCUCGCCGAUCUUGUUGGCGAGGUUUGCCUCUCCGACGAGCCUGCGCCCGACGCAUGCACGAGUGGCCCCGAGAGCCUCCUCGCGGGCCUCCUCGACCAACUCCACGUCGCCGGCGAGCCUGCCACAGAUCUGGAGUCCAUAGGAUCCACCGACCCGAUGCUGGUCGACUCCGACACCGCGUCGCUCGACGCAUUCCCCACCAAUGUGGUGAUCUACGACGAGCCGCUCUCGUACGCGGGGAGCGGCGGAAGCACCGUCACUGAGGUCCUCGUCCUCGAGCACGGCGAGCGCUCCAGCGAAGGAGCGCAUGACCCGUUUGACGCGGCCCUGCGAGACCUUGCAGCACCGGUUCCGGAAGACGCCGACGUCGGGACGCUGGAGGCACUCCGCCUUCAGCUCAUCGAGGGAGCGAAGAAGCUGGCAAGCACGAGGCGAUUGUCAGAAGCUUACCAACGAGAGAUGGAUCGCGCCGUAGGCGGCUCGCCGGCUCCAACCGGGCCUAGCCGCCUAGGCACGGUCCGAUAGCGCGGCGCGGCAAUCGCCAACCUCUUCGGGGCUGAUCGCCCUGUGUAUGCCACGCCCGCAGAGAAUAUCCGUGCCGCCCAGGCGGCAGCAGACGAGCUCGACAACUUCGAAGGCGAAGAGCGCCGCAUAAUGACGGAGCGAGUUCAGCAGCUCCUCGACGCGGCUGCCGCGCAGAAUGAUGUCGGCUGCCGCACCGAGGCGCCGCAGCGCCAAAACAACGACCCACCGCCUUGCCGAGACCAAGGUGCGACGUCUCGAACGCCGACUGGCGGGGCUCGUGGGAAGAAGGACAAGGAGCCGGCUGCCAGCCGCAGUCAGACUCACAUCACCAUCGAGCGCGACCAAGACGGCCGCCCUAGAGCGGUGGAACGGCGGGACGACUACUUACCUCCCCCUCCUCGCAGAGAAAGACAAGUCUCCCCGCUGCCCGUAGAACAUCCGACUCUCGGCGACCGCCUUGGCCGCCGAGAGGGAGUCGGAGAGAACGACGCCCGCCACCGGAUCGACCGACUCCACCAAUCCCUGGCGCUGGAAGAAGAAGACGAGUUGGGUCCCCCCUGCUUUGGACCCCGCAUCCGGGACGAGCCCUUUCCGAAAGGGUUCACGCUCCCCCGAGACACGCCCAAAUAUACCGGCACCGUGAAGCCGGAAGAUUGGCUGAUCGACUACUCCACAGCCGUCAACAUAGCGAACGACAACAAGUGUGUUGCCGUAAGAUACGUCCCGCUCAUGCUCCAGGGCUCGGCCCGAACGUGGUUAAACAGUCUGAAGCCUCGCAGCAUCAAUAGCUGGGUCGACUUCACCGAGGCUUUCGUCCGCAACUUCACGAGCACGUACAAGCGACCUCCCAAGCCACGCCAGCUCUCCUUGUGCGUGCAAGGCCCUGACGAGUCUACUCGCGACUACCUCACGCGAUGGGGCAAACUCCGGAACUCCUGCGAGGGCGUGCACGAGGUGCAGGCCAUAGAGUACUUUACUGUCGGGUGCAGAGAAGGCGCCCUCCUCAAGCACAAGCUCCUCUGCGACGAGCCGGAGACCCUGGAUGAACUGCUGAUCAUAGCGGACAAGUACGCCAUGGCCGACUCCUCCAUGAAGGCGGAGAUUUGGGUCAGCACAACUGGCAAAGUCGCCCCUCAGGCUCCAAGAACUCCGGCUGGAGACACCAGUCGGCGGCAACAGCAGAAUGACCAGAAGCGCAAGGCCCCACAGCUGACUUCCAGCAGUCGGCAAGUGGCAACGGCAGAGGACUAGCAGCUGGAGGGACCGCCUCCGGCGAAGCGGCAGAAGGGCGGCAAGUCCAACUGGCUGCCGGCUUUCUCCUACGAGCAGACUCUAGAUGGUCCCUGCAAGUUUCACAGCGGCGCGAAACCGUCAAACCACACCACCAGGAAAUGCCACUAGCUGACCAGAAUCGGCAAGGGGGACGGCCUGCUCCCUCCCGCUCCUGCUGGGCCGCCUCCUCCACCACUGCCCCAGCAGCCGGCCGUCAGGCCAGUCGGCGCGAUACGAGACGAGUUCCCAGAUGAGCAUGGAGCCUAUGUGGUGUUCACCAGUGUAGCGGAUGACCGGCGCAGCAGGCGCCAACAGCAGCAAGAAGUGAAUGCGGUUGCAUCAAGCACUCCAGAGUUCAUGCAUUGGUCCGAGAAGCCUAUCAGUUGGAGCAGAGUUGAUCACCCAGAAGUGAUGCCGAGUCCAGGCUCCUACGCCUUGGUCUUAGGCGCCACACUCGCCACAGAUAGGCGGGCCGCUCGCUUCUCGCGAGUACUGAUAGACGGAGGCAGCAGUAUCAACAUCCUGUACAAGGAUACAAUGGAGAAAUUAGGAAUCAAGCGAAGACAGCUUCAGAGCAGCCGGACUGUGUUCCACGGAAUCGUCCCUGGCCUUUCCUGCUCACCAAUCGGCAAGAUCCUGAUAGAUGUCCUCUUCGAAGACAAAGAUCAUUUCCGCCGAGAGCCAAUUUGGUUUGAGGUGGUGGACCUUGAGAGCCCAUAUCAUGCACUGCUUGGCCGACCUGCCUUGGCCAAGUUCAUGGCGGUCCCCCACUACGCCUACCUCAAGAUGAAGAUGUCGAGUUCCAAGGGAAUCCUAACCGUGUCCGGCAACUACAAGAAGUCGUUCGCUUGCACGGCCGAAAGUAGUCGGCUGGCCGAGUCCUUGGUGAUCGCAGCUGAGAAACGGCUCCUUGAUCGGGUCGUGGCGAUGGCCGGCAAGCAGCCCGAGUUAUCGCCCGACCCCAAGGAGUCGGAAGCAGAAGGAUCAUUCAAGCCGGCCAGAGAAACAAAGAAGAUACCGUUGGACCCGGAACACCCGGAGAGGUACGCUGUCAUGGGCACAGGCCUUGACAGCAAAUAGGAAGGCGAGCUCGUCGAUUUCCUCCGUGAGAAUCGCGACAUCUUCGCAUGGUCCCCCAAGGACAUGCCUGGUGUCCCGACAGAAUUCGCCGAGCACAAAUUACACGUCCGAUCUGAUAUGAAGCCCGUCAGGCAGCCCUUGCGCCGCUUGUCGGAAGAAAAAAGAAGAGUUGUUGGAGAAGAAAUAGCCCGGCUCCUUGCAGCCGGCUUCAUCAUGGAAGUAUUUUUUCCAGAGUGGCUGGCAAACCCAAUACUGGUGCUGAAGAAGAACAAGCAAUGGCGGAUGUGCAUUGAUUACACGAGCCUCAACAAAGCCUACCCCAAGGACCCAUUUGCUCUGCCAAGAAUUGAUCAGGUGAUAGACUCCACAGCCGGAUGCGAGCUGUUGAGUUUCCUAGACGCAUAUUCAGGAUAUCAUCAGAUCAAGCUGAACCCGGCCGAUAGACUGAAGACCACCUUCAUCACGCUGUUUGGAGCCUUCUGCUACCUGACCAUGACGUUCGGCUUGAGAAACGCCGGCGCCACCUUUCAGCGUUGCAUGCAGAAGUGCCUCCUGAAGCAACUCGGUAGAAAUGCCCACGUCUAUGUGGAUGACGUGGUGGUGAAGACAGAGAAGCGUGGAACCUUGCUGGAGGACCUCAAGGAGACAUUUGAGAAUCUGCGCCGAUUCCAGAUCAAGCUCAACCCGGAGAAGUGCGUUUUCGGAGUACCAGCCGGCCAGCUCCUCGGUUUCCUGGUCUCCGAACGCAGCAUAGAGUGCAAUCCUGUAAAGAUCAAGGCCAUCGAAAGGAUGGAGGCACCCAGACGACUGUUAGAUGUGCAGAAGUUCACCGGCUGUUUGGCAUCCAUCAGCCGAUUCAUCAGUCGACUAGGCGAGAAGGCUCUCCCCUUGUAUCAGCUCAUGAAGAAGACGACCUUCUUUGAGUGGACUCCCAAGGCGGACGAGGCUUUUCUCCAACUAAAGAAGAUGUUGACUACUCCCCCUGUGCUGGCGGCUCCGACUUCCAAAGAGCCCAUGCUCCUAUACUUUGCCGCCACCAGCCGAGUAGUCGGCACGGUCAUUGUAGUCGAGCGCAAGGAGGAAGGCAAGGCGCUACCCGUCCAGAGAUCGGUAUAUUACUUGAGCGAGGUGCUGUCGACCUCCAAGCAGAACUACCCCCAUUACCAGAAGAUGUGCUACGGCGUGCAUUUUGCCGCCAAGAAAUUGAAGCCUUACUUCCAGGAGCAUCCAAUCACCAUGGUCUGCACAGCUCCACUGGCCGAGACAAUUGGAAGCCAAAUGCUUCUGGCCGGGUGGCCAAAUGGGCGAUCGACCUGGCUCCCUACACCAUCUACUACGAGCCCCGCACCGCCAUCAAGUCACAAGCACUGGCUGACUUCCUCAUUGACUGGGCCGAGACCCAGUAUCUGCCGCCAGCGCCCGACUCCACCCAUUGGCGGAUGCACUUCGACGGCUCCAAGAUGCGCACCGGCCUGGGAGCCGGCGUCAUCCUCACUUCCCCCAAGGGCGACAAGCUCAGAUAUGCGCUACAGAUCCACUUCGCCACCUCCAACAACGUGGCCGAGUACGAGGCGCUCAUCCACGGGCUCCGACUUGCCAAAGAACUCGGCAUUCGCCGGAUCCUGUGUUAUGGCAACUCUGACUUGGUGGUCCAGCAAUCAUCUGGCGAUUGGGACGCCAAGGAUGCAAAUAUGGCGAGCUACCGUUUCCUCGUCCAGCAACUCAGCGGAUACUUCGAGGGGUGCGAGUUCCUCCACAUGCCAAGGAACGACAAUGACCAAGCAGACGCCUUGGCACGAAUCGGCUCCACCCGCCAGGCUGGGUAAGUGGAGGAACUCCUCAAGCCUUCCGGCGCCUCCUCAAGCCUUCUAUCAAGCCGUCACCAGAAUCAGAUUCAAUCUAUGUGCCGGCUCCGCCUGAGGAGGAUGGAUCCGACUCCAAGAAACAUACAGUUGAAGCCGUCCCAGGGACUUCAAAACCCGGCCCGGGGACUAUGAUAGCAAGAUCGAAGACUCCAGAGCUCGGCCCGGGGACUGCUCCAGUUGGCCCUAGGACUUUGUCAAAUCAGCAAGCGGCUGUGGACUCCAACCCGCCGCCUCCCAGCCCGGCCGCCCUUAUCCAAGUCGCACUAGUGGCAGUUGAAGAAAUAGCAGCACCUUCAUGGGCCCAGCCCAUCCUCCGAUUCUUAGUAAACAGAGAGCUGCCAACUGACGAAAUCUUGGCUCGGCAAGUGCAACGCCGAGCAGCAGCCUACACCAUAGUCAACAUAGAGAUGGUUAGGCGCAGCGUUACCGGCGUCUUCCAACGCUGCGUCGAAGCAGAACAAGGUCAGGCAAUCCUCAGAGACAUCGACGAAGGCGAGUGCGGUCACCACGCGGCCUCAAGGGCACUCGUCGCCAAAGCCUUCCGGCACGGUUUUUUCUGGCCAACCGCUCUGGAAGAGGCCAAAGAGUUAGUCCAAAAGUGCAAGGGGUGCCAGAUUUUUUGUUCCAAGCCACUUCAGCCGGCUUCCGCACUCAAGACUAUCCCCAUCGCCUGGCCCUUUGCAGUCUGGGGCCUGGACAUGGUGGGACCAUUCAAGACAGCACGAGGUGGCUUGACUCACCUACUUGUCGCAGUGGACAAGUUCACCAAGUGGGUGGAGGUGAAACCCAUCAAGAAAUUGAAUGGUCCGACUGCAGUGACCUUCAUCGCUGACAUCACAACUCGGUACGGCAUUCCACACAGCAUCAUCACCGACAAUGGCACGAAUUUUGCCAAAGGCGCCUUGGCCCGUUUUUGCGCGACACAGGGCAUCCGACUGGACUUAGCAUCCAUUGCUCAUCCGCAGUCAAACGGCCAGGUGGAGCGAGCAAACGGCCUCAUCUUAUCCGGCAUCAAGCCUCGACUCGUCAUACUGCUGGAGCGAUCUGCCGGCUGUUGGCUUGAGGAGCUGCUAGCCGUCCUCUGGAGUCUGCGCAUGACUCCAAACAAGUCAACCGGCUUCACACCAUUCUUCCUCGUCUAUGGCGCCGAAGCCGUCAUUCCAACGGACAUAGAGUUCGACUCCCUGCGAGUCACCAUGUACACCAAGGAAGAAGCAGAAGAAGCACGUCAAGACGGCGUCGAUCUAUUGGAAGAGGGCCAGCUGUUGGCACUCAGCCAGUCCAGCAUCUACCAGCAGAGUCUGCGUCGGUACUACAACAGGAAGGUCAGGCCAAGAUCUUUUCAGGAAGGCGACCUUGUGCUCCGGCUGAUCCAGCGAACAGCCGGCCAGCACAAGCUGUCGGCACCUUGGGAAGGCCCCUUCAUCAUCAGCAAGGUGCUAGGGAACGACGCCUACUAUUUGAUCGACGCCCAGAAGCCCCGAGCGCGCAAGAGGGACGAUUCCGGCAAAGAGACAGAGUGCCCGUGGAAUGCAAAUCUUCUUCGAAGAUUUUACAGUUGAUGCAGUAUGUAUCACACUACCCCUUUUGUAUUAAAGUACUAAGACUUUGGGCCCCCCGAGACGAGCUCGGGGACUACCCUUUUUGUUAUCUGUACGAUAAGAAUUAUGCCUCCAAGUACAUUACUUUCAUUAUAAGCCGCUUGGCACCGGGCCUGACUAGUCGGCCCGGGGACUCGCCGCCUUGCACUAUGAGAAGCUUCCCGCAGUCAGACAAGUAGUGUGCGGUGCCCAAUCCGCCUCCUGGCAAAGCCGCAGCUCGCAGAGCGACUGUGAGGCAUGCAGGAGUGAGUAAGAACGGGCACCCACACGAAAAAUGGCUAAGGACCUAAAGCACGAACAUAGCAUAAAACGGCCCCCAGCAUUUCUAAAGCGGAAGGCCGACUCAUGAGUAGCCAGCUUGCCGUCUUUAUUAGCCUCUAUUAAGGACGACCGACUCUUGGGUAGUCGGCGUGUCGCUUUCUAUCCGACUUGCUAAAGAAACUCUAAACGGCCAAGUCCUUGCCUUCCCAAAGUAGCCAAGCACUUGACCCAGCGAUAGUCCGCAGAGCGGCUGCUCGACUGAAAAGGCUAAAGGAAGGCGGCAAAGGGAAAAAGCCUAAAGAGCAAUAAGCAAGGAAAGACGGAAAGCAGAUUGAUAUUUACAUAGGCCCUUGGCCGAAUCUUCGAAUAGAAGUUCAAGAUACACCCCACGGGUGGAAUUGUUCGAAUCUAACAAAGUUCUCAAAAGAUUACUUAAGACAGACAAGCAGAGGCGGAAAAGGCAGCCUAGGAGACGGCAUCUGGGGUCGGAGGAUCGGAGGUGACGGCGGCGUCAGGCGCCGGGGCAGUCGGCUGGGCGAUCUCGGUUUGACUGCCUCCGGCGGCAGUCGUUUUUUCCUGACGCGGCUCGUUGCUGGAGGCGCGGUCGAGCUGAGGCUGGCCACCUGCUCUGUCUUCUGGCACAUCCGCCUCGCCUUCGGCCUCCACCUCGUCCUCCUCGGUGCUGGAGUCGAUCACCUCUGCCGAGUCCUCGCCAUACUCCGGUUUCAUCCCAAACCACUCUGGCGGCACUUCUUCGUCGCCUUCAGCCCGCUCGGGGACGAAGACACUGGUGUCCGCGUACUCGGCGAUGGCCGCCGCACGCUCGAUAAGGGCGCCCUCCAUGGCCUCCAGCUCGGCCUGGGCUUCUGACCGGAACGCGGCCAGACGGUCCAGGUCCAGCCCUGGGUACCACGCCUUGACGAACUCCAAGGCCCGGCGCGCUCCGGCCCGGGCCGAGGAGCCCUUCCAGGCCUCAAGACAGCCGGCAGCGACCUCCAGCCAGUCAGCAGUUCGGCUGGCGGUGCGCAGAGCCGGCAUGCCUGGCCAUAGGGCGGCAACCGCCUGGGCGCCGGCACGCUGAAGCCGGCGCAGCAGCCGGCAAGCCGGACGAAGAUGGGCUUCAAUGCUCAGAAGCUGCUCAUCGACAUUUCGGGGGGCAUUAGCGGCGAUCUCCUCGCCGUUCACCCUUCGCGCUUCACGAGCAGCCUCGAUGGCCAGAGGGACCGCCUGCGAGUGACCAGGGAAGAAGUCUGCCAAGACAAAAAAGAAGAAAGUCGAAAAAUUAGAAGUCGGCCUGACACAUAGUCGGAAGCCCGAAGAAGCGACGAAACUUACCAUCAACGAUAUCCUCGAUCUCAUGGAAGCCGGAGAUCAGCAUCGCCUCCCUGUCGGUCCAGGAGGAGCGCUCGCUCUCGAACUCGGCCAGGAGGGCGGUCUCCCUCUUCUCGGCCUCGUCCUGCGCCUUCUUGAGCAGCUCUUUUUGCUCGGCCAGCUGCGCCGCCAGCAGGUCACGCUCCGUGGCAAGCUUGUCACACUCCUCCUCCUUGGCACGACAGGCGGUAUUGGCCUUGCCCAGCUGCUCCUGAAGAGCGGUGUUGGCUCCCGAAGAGCGAAAAAAGAGACAAUAGGUCGUCAGCAAAGAAGAUCAUCGGGGAGAUCCGACCCGAGUGCUCAGCAGUCGGCCCGAAUCUCGGGGACUACAGCCCGCAGGUGCGCCAGCGCGCCCCCGCGAAGAAGAAGAACUCACUCUGACUUUCCACCAAGUCGGCAGCCCGCUUGCUCAACUCCUCAACAUUGCGGUUGAAGGCAGUGGCACGGAGGUUGUGAUACUCCUGCAGAUAAGUCAUUGAAGACAAAGUUAGUGUAUAGAACUCGCCAGAGGGAGUUCCGAACCGCCUGCUCAGCAGCCGUCCCGGAACUCGGGGACUACACCCAGUGGGUGCGCUGGCGCGCCCCCACAGAGAAAAACAAGAAUCAAGAAGGAGAAGAAACUUACUCGGACGGCCGUUCGCGCGGCCAGGUGCGCUCUGGUGUAGGCUUGAAGGGCGUCGCCUUCGGCCCGCAACUUCGCCUGGACUUCCAGGAGCAAUUGAUUUAGCGGCCCAGUGCCGCCUCCGCGCACCCACCCGGUGGGCGCGGCGCUUGUGGCCUCUGCGUCUAGAGUUGCCGAGCUGGCAGCGCCCAUCUCCUGAGGUCACGGCGCCGAGGUCGCCCUCUCAAGACGGCGACGCACCGGCGAGGCGACUUGGAGAAGCAGCCGUGCUUCGGCCUCGUCCAUGGCCGGCGGCUCCGACGGAUCCACCGGCUGUUUACCGUGCGGUCUCCCAGACGGCGGUGGAGGCGGCGGCGGCGGCACGAGAGCGUCCGACAUGGAGGCCUCGCCGCUCUCCUUCUCCGCGACGGGGUUCUCGGUGCCGGCUUCCCCGGUCUGCCCCGUGAACUCCGGAGGCGGCGGUGCAGACGAUAGUGGGGGGCGAGCAUCGCCGAUCGGCGACGCGCGGCCUCCUCAGCGCGCUGUCUCACUGCAAGGGCGGCUUCGGCAUCAUCCAGCUUUUUCUGGGCGGAGGCGGCCGCCCUGUCGGCCUCCGCCUUCUCCAAAUGGGCGGCCUCCUCCUCCUCGCGCUUCUCCCGCGCAUUCCGCUCCAUCGCCUCCCGGAGGUCGGCGGCAGGGUCGGGCCACCGAGUAUUGGCGGAUGUCUCUGCCGACCCCAUGACGGAGGGGACGGCGACUCUCUCAAGGGAAAGAGGGGCCUUGAAGAAGAAUGGAGGGAGUAUAUAAACGAAGACUCGGACAAGAUUCAACGAAGAAAAUAAAAGAGCGUGAAGACUUACGUGGAUACUAGCGGCGGCCUUCUCACUUCCCUUCGGAAGCGGUUGGCCUUCGCGGCCGCCUCCUCUCGUCUGGUCGCGGCGGCCGCCCCCUUGAACUUAUUCAAUUUGCCGCCGGGCGCACUCGGCCCGGCGUGAUGCCUCUUCGCACCGCCUUGGCCGGCGGAGGAGCCGGCGCCCGACGGGCCGAUCCUCAGCUGGUGGCGCGGAGCGACUUCGCCUUCGGCGUCGUCAUCAGGCCAGUCGGCGAAGGUGGCCGAGGGCCUGAAGUCGCCUUCUGCUCCUCCUCCCCCGCCUUCGGCAUCGGCUUCCAUCGCCGCUGCCCCCAAGUCGGGGUUGUCGACGUCGCUCUCCGCGCGGUCGGGAACAUACUCGCGGGGCUGUCUCGUGGCGCCGGCGGCAGGCUGCAUAAGAGGAUUCUAGUUCAGAAGAAACCAACAAGAGUCAGAAGCCGGAGUCGGCUGCGGAAAAAAGAUAAAACAGCAGGGAGACGCGACUUACCACUGAUGGAGGGUUGUCACGCGAGUACGGCUCCUUGCCGAACUGUCAGUCCUCCUCGUACUCGCAGUGCGCGAUGUAAUUCACCAUGUUCGCCACCUCCUUGUGGGGCAUCUCCUUGGUGCUCAUCCGACUUGGGUCUCGGAGGCCGCUCAUCUGACAGAUCAGGUGAGGCCGGCCUUGGAGUGGGAGAACUCGGCGCGCCAUGAAGGCGGCCAGCAAGUCGGCCCCGACGAGUCCCUCCGACUGCGUCAAGACUCGGAGUCGCGCUACGGCGGCGGCUCCGGCGGGAGUCAGCGUCUUGACUCGGUGGGACCAGCUGGGGAGCCGCCCAGUCAGGGGAGCGGCAUUGUAAGGCGGCAAGUUGACCCAGUCGCCGUCGGAGGCGAGGUUCUUCACGUAGAAGUACGAGCGCUGCCACAUCUUCACCGACUUGAUCAGCAUGAUGGGAGGAAAGGGGUUGUCGGCCGUCGAGCACCGCAUCGCGAUGAAGGCGCCGCACUGAGCCGGCACGCCAGCGAUGUGCGUGCCGAGCUUAGAAGAGAAGAAUUCUCCCCACAGCUCGAUGGUGGGGAGAACACCGAGGAAACCUUCGCAUAGAGUGGCGAAGGCGGAGAGCAACACCACCAUAUUCGGAGUGAGGUGGUGCGGCUAAAGACUGUGGAACUCCAGGAACGAGCGGAAGAAGCCGCUCGCCGGCAGCCCCAGGCCGCGCAUAAGGUGCGAGCGGAAGAUGACCCGCUCGCCCUCUUCCAGCGCCAGCCGGAUUUCCCCCUCCGACGCGGCGCGGGCGUGCACGAGGUCCGCGCUGGGGAGACGGUGGGUCCGGCAGAGGAACUCGAUGUGUUCUUCCUCUACCUCCGAGCCGUCCCAUACGCCAGAGCGCCCGGCAGGGGCCGCGGCGGAGGAAGAGCUCAUCACCGCGGUAUGGCGUGCUCUUGCUCAAGGGCGGAGGAAGGAGGGAGAGAAAGCAAGAUGAGGCAGGGGAGCGGGGAAGAAGGGCGCGCGAGCUGUGCCACUCCGCUUCCCCCCGCCUACUUAUAGCCCUGCGGGCUGAGAAGCCGAGGGGGCGGGCGUGGGAUUAACUGCGCAUGAAGCCCCACGCCGCCCCACGAUUUACCCACGAAGUUACUGCGUGCAGUAACGACGUGGGAAAACCAACCGUCCUCGGCCGCAACGGAUCCGUUCGUAUGCCGAGGCGCGGUAGUGGCGGGCCCCGCCUGACGGCCCGUCCCGUCACGCGCGUGGGCAGGCAGACUGUUCUCCCCACAUGGUGCCACGCGAUAGGACCGCCCUGAUGGCUGCGGGGAAGCAUAUCAGGCACGCCGCUUGGCUUCCCGCCGCGACUUCCGAACUGAGGCUCUUCACUGAAGCUCCGACUGUCGACAGUCGGCCCAAGGGAAGACGGCAGCCGAGUCCCAGAGUCUGCACUUUUAAAAGAUUGAAGCUGUUGAAGCCCCACAAUGCAGCGACCGCAGGGCUUCACCAGCUUCGGGGACUACUGUCGGAGUAAUGGGCCACGGGUAGGCUAACCCGAGCCCCAGGACAUUUCAAGACAUCGGGGCAGGCCGCGCCCCUCAGGCCGAGUCCCAGGAGCGACUCCAAAAUAUGUCGAGUCCCAGACGGCGACUCCCUGAUAAGCCGACUCCAAGCUGGCGACUUCCAGAGAGGUCGACUAUGGAGAGUCGGCCCAAAGAAUCCUCCCUUAUCCCGAAGUACGACACGGGGUACGGUCACGGCAUGGCCGUUUCCCCCUGCUUACGAAGGGCCGGCAUGGCUACAGUGAGCCGCGCUGGAAGAUCUCCGGCGAGAUGCGGCACUGUUGCCAUGCCUGCCCUGAUCUCAGCCAUAGUACGCAGUACACUGUGCCCACGACGCCGGCCUGUGCGACCCAAAGGCGGUGGGGCCGCCUGUCAGUGGGUGGGCCGAAGGCGACCUGGGCAACCCGAAGACGGACCUGUGGGAGUCGGCCUCCCUGGAGUCGGCCGACUCCUCCCGGGGCCCCACGAGCCAUUAAUCAGAUAAGAUGGGGAAUGGUGAUAGUGAUCGCCCGAUAGACGGCGGCACUGUUGCCACGAUUCGAUGACCGAGCCUGCGUCAUCAGGAGUGCCGCUACAGUAUCAAGCCUGUCCGCGGGACCCGCCAGUCGGCGGGCCCCAGAAGCCGGCGGGAAGGACGGCGGCCUGAGAGACAGACGGCUAGGACCCGCGCCCAGCCGGAUUACUAUUGUACCCCCGGGGGGUAGGCGUAUAUAAACCCCCCGGGGCACCCAUGCAAAGGGUUCGGACCUAGAAAGAGAGAUAGACCAGAUAGCCCAGGGAAGAGAGAGCUAGCCUUGCCCUCUCCUACCUCCCGAAACAGCUCCAGGAGCACCAUUGUAGUCACUUUGCUUUAGUGAUCAUGCGGAGACCCCGCAGAGCAGCAGUAGGGGUGUUAUCUCCUAGGAGAGCCCUGAAGCUGGGUAAGUUCUGCCGGCGUGCAUGUCUUCGCCUCAUCCCGCUUCCAGGCACCGGCGACGUUCUACUCGCUCCCACCAUGAUAAGCCAUCCUUUGGCAUAUGUCGUAUCCAACCCCCGACAAACAUGGAGGUGCCGUCCGUUCGGCGCUAGGAUCUCUGGUGAUUUGGAUCACGACGAGUACGACUCCCUCAACCUCGUUCUCUUGAACGCUUCCGCUCGCGAUCUACAAGGGUAUGUAGAUGCACCCCUCUCUCUCGUUGCUAGAUGAACUCAUAGAUUGAUCUUGGUGAACGUAGGAAUUUUUUUAUUUUAUGCAACGUUCCCCAACAGUGGUAUCAGAGCUAGGUCUAUGCUUAUUUCUCUAUUGCACGUACGCUUACGUGAGACAGGUUCCACCGACUGACAUGCACUAGUUGCAUAAGGUGGCUAGCGGGUGUCUGUCUCUCCCACUUUAGUUGGAGCGGAUUCGAUGAAAAGGGUCCUUAUGAAGGGUAAAUAGAAGUUGACAAAUCACGUUGUGGUUAUUCGUAGGUAAGAAAACAUUCUUGCUAGAACCCUAUUGCAGCCACGUAAAAGAUGAAACAACAAUUAGAGGACGUCUAACUUGUUUUUGCAGCAACUGCUUUGUGAUGUGAUAUGGCCAAAAGUUGUGAUGAAUGAUGAAUGAUAUAUUUUGAUGUAUGAGAUCAUGUUCUUGUAAUAGGAAUCACGACUUGCAUGUCAAUGAGUAUGACAACCGGCAAGAGCCAUAGGAGUUGUUUUAAUUAUUGUAUGACCUGCGUGUCAAUGAUUUAACGCCAUGUAAUUACUUUACUUUAUUGCUAAACCGUUAGCCAUAGUACUAGAAGUAAUAGUUGGCGAGCAACUUCGUGGAGACACGAUGAUGGAGAUCAUGAUGAUGGAGAUCAUGGUGUCAUGCCGGUGACGAAGAUGAUCAUGGAGCCCCAAAGAUGGAGAUCAAAGGAGCUAUAUGAUAUUGGCCAUAUCAUGUCACUACUAUUUAAUUGCAUGUGAUGUUUAUUAUGUUUAUGCAUCUUGUUUACUUAGAACGACGGUAGUAAAUAAGAUGAUCCCUCAUAAUAAUUUCAAGAAAGUGUUCCCCCUAACUGUGAGCCGUUGCUAAAGUUCGUCGUUUCGAAGCACCACGUGAUGAUCGGGUGUGAUAGAUUCCUACGUUCACAUACAACGGGUGUAAGACAGUUUUACACAUGCAAAAACACUUAGGUUAACUUGACGAGCCUAGCAUGUACAGACAUGGCCUCGGAACACAGAGACCGAAAGGUCGAACAUGAGUCGUAUGGAAGAUACGAUCAACAUGGAGAUGUUCACCGAUGAUGACUAGUCCGUCUCACGUGAUGAUCGGACACGGCCUAGUCGACUCGGAUCAUGUAACACUUAGAUGACUAGAGGGAUGUCAAAUUUGAGUGGGAGUUCAUUAAAUAAUUUGAUUAGAUGAACUUAAUUAUCAUGAACUUAGUCUAAAAUCUUUGCAAAAAUGUCUUGUAGAUCAAAUGGCCAACACUCAUGUCAACAUGAACUUCAACGCGUUCCUAGAGAAAACCAAGCUGAAAGAUGAUGGCAGCAACUAUACGGACUAGGUCCGGAACCUGAGGAUCAUCCUCAUAGCUGCCAAGAAAGCAUAUGUCCUAGAAGGACCGCUAGGUGAAGCACCCAUCCCAGAGAACCAAGACAUUAUGAACGCUUGGCAGUCAUGUGCUGAUGAUUACUCCCUCGUUCAGUGCGGCAUGCUUUACAGCUUAGAACCGGGGCUCCAAAAGCGUUUUGAGCAACACGGAGCAUAUGAGAUGUUCGAGGAGCUGAAAAUGAUUUUCCAAGCUCAUGCCCGGGUCGAGAGAUAUGAAGUCUCUGACAAGUUCUAUAGUUGUAAGAUGGAGGAAAAUAGUUCUGUCAGUGAGCACAUACUCAAAAUGUCUGGGUUGCACAACCGCCUGUCCCAGCUGGACAUUAACCUCCCGGACGAGGCGGUCAUUGACAGAAUCCUUCAGUCGCUCCCACCGAGCUACAAGAGCUUUGUGAUGAACUACAAUAUGCAGGGGAUGGUGAAAACUAUUCCUGAAGUAUUUUCAAUGCGGAAGUCAGCAGAGGUAGAAAUUAAGAAGGAACAUCAAGUGUUGAUGGUCAAUAAAACCACUAAGUUCAAGAAGGGCAAGGGUAAGAAGAACUUCAAGAAGGACGACAAAGAUGUUGCCGCGCCCGGUAAGCCAGUUGCCGGGAAGAAGUCAAAGAAUGGACCCAAGCCUGAGACUGAGUGCUUUUAUUGCAAAGGGAAGGGUCACUGGAAGCGAAACUGCCCCAAAUACUUAGCGGACAAGAAGGCCGACAACACUAAAGGUAUAUGUGAUAUACAUGUAAUUGAUGUGUACCUUACCAUUACUCGUAGUAACUCCUGGGUAUUUGAUACCAGUGCCGUUGCUCAUAUUUGUAACUCACAGCAGGAGCUGCGGAAUAAGCGGAGACUGGCGAAGGACGAGGUGACGAAGCGCGUCGGGAAUGGUUCCAAGGUCGAUGUGAUCGUCGUGGGCAUGCUGCCUCUACAUUUACCCACGGUAUUAGUUUUAAACCUCAAUAAUUGUUAUUUAGUGCCAACUUUGAGCAUGAACAUUGUAUCUGGAUCUCGUUUAAUGCGAGAUGGCUACUCAUUUAAAUCUGAGAAUAAUGGUUGUUCUAUUUAUAUGAGAGAUAUGUUUUAUGGUCAUGCCCCGAUGGUCAAUGGUUUAUUCUUAAUGAAUCUCGAACGUAAUGUUACACAUAUUCAUAGUGUGAAUACCAAAAGAUGUAAAGUUGAUAACGAUAGUCCCACAUACUUGUGGCACUGCCGCCUUGGUCACAUUGGUGUCAAGCACAUGAAGAAGCUCCAUGCUGAUGGACUUUUAGAGUCUCUCGAUUAUGAAUCAUUUGACACAUGUGAACCUUGCCUCAUGGGAAAAAUGACCAAGACUCCGUUCUCCGAAACAAUGGAGCGAGCAACCAACUUAUUGGAAAUCAUACAUACUGAUGUGUGUGGUCCAAUGAGCAUUGAGGCUCGUGGAGGAUAUCGUUAUGUUCUCACUCUCACUGAUGACUUAAGUAGAUAUGGGUAUGUCUACUUGAUGAAACACAAGUCUGAGACCUUUGAAAAGUUCAAGGAAUUUCAGAAUGAAGUAGAGAAUCAACAUGACCGAAAGAUAAAAUUCUUACGAUCAGAUCGUGGAGGAGAAUAUUUGUGGAAUCAUUUCACAACUCACGCCGCCUGGAACACCUCAGCGUAAUGGUGUGUCCAAACAUCGUAAUCGCACUCUAUUGGAUAUGGUGCGAUCUAUGAUGUCUCUUACCGAUUUACCGUUAUCAUUUUGGGGAUACGCUCUAGAGACAGCUACAUUCACUUUAAAUAGGGCUCCGUCUAAAUCCAUUGAGACGACACCGUAUGAAUUAUGGUUUGGGAAGAAACCUAAGCUGUCAUUUCUAAAAGUUUGGGGAUGCGAUGCUUAUGUCAAGAAACUUCAACCUGAAAAGCUCGAACCCAAGUCGAAAAAAUGCGUCUUCAUACGAUACCCUAAGGAAACCAUUGGGUAUACCUUCUACCUUAGAUCCGAAGGCAAGAUCUUUGUUGCCAAGAAUGGGUCCUUUCUGGAAAAAGAGUUUCUCUCGAAAGGAGUAAGUGGGAGGAAAGUAGAACUCGAUGAAGUACUACCUCUUAAACCGGAAAGUAGUGCAGCUCAGGAAGAUGUUCCUGUGGUGCCUACACCGACUGGAGAGGAAAUUAAUGAUGAUGAUCAAGGUACUUUGGAUCAAGUUGCUACUAAACUUCGUAGGUCCACAAGGACACGUUCCACACCAGAGUGGUAUGGCAACCCUGUCCUAGAAAUCAUGUUGUUAGACAACGGUGAACCUUCGAACUAUGAAGAAGCGAUGGCGGGCCCAGAUUCCAACAAAUGGCUUGAAGCCAUGCAAUCCGAGAUAGAAUCCAUGUAUGAAAACAAAGUAUGGACUUUGAGGGACUUGCCCGAUGAUCGGCGAGCGAUAGAAAACAAAUGGAUCUUUAAGAAGAAGACGGACGCAGAUGGUAAAGUUACCAUCUAUAAAGCUCGACUUGUCGCUAAGGGUUAUCGGCAAGUUCAAGGAGUUGACUACGAUGAGACUUUCUCUCCCGUAGCGAAGCUGAAGUCCGUCCGAAUCAUGUUACCAAUUGCCGCAUACUGUGAUUAUGAGAUAUGGCAGAUGGACGUCAAAACGGCAUUCCUUAAUGGCUAUCUUAAGGAAUAACUGUAUAUGAUGUAGCCGGAAGGUUUUGUUGAUCCUAAGAAUGCUAACAAGGUGUGCAAGCUCCAACGAUCCAUUUAUGGGCUGGUGCAAGCAUCUCGGAGUUGGAACAUUCACUUUGAUAAGAUGAUCAAAGCGUUUGGGUUUAUGCAGACUUAUGGAGAAGCCUGCGUAUACAAGAAAGUGAGUGGGAGCUCUGUAGCAUUUCUCAUAUUAUAUGUAGAUGACAUACUUUUGAUGGGAAAUGAUAUAGAACUUUUGGACAGUAUUAAGGCCUACUUGAAUAAGUGUUUUUCAAUGAAGGACCUUGGAGAAGCUGCUUACAUAUUAGGCAUCAAGAUCUAUAGGGAUAGAUCGAGACGCCUCAUAGGUCUUUCACAAAGCACAUACCUUGAUAAGAUAUUGAAGAAGUUCAAUAUGGAUCAGUCCAAGAAAGAGUUCUUGCCUGUAUUGCAAGGUGUGAGAUUGAGCUCGGCUCAAUGCCCGACCACGGCAGAAGAUAAAGAAGAGAUGAGUGUCAUCCCCUAUGCCUCAGCCAUAGGAUCUAUUAUGUAUGCCAUGCUGUGUACCAGACCUGAUGUGUACCUUGCCGUAAGUUUGGUAGGAAGGUACCAAAGUAAUUCCGGCAAGGAACACUGGACAGCGGUCAAGAAUAUCCUAAAGUACCUGAAAAGGACAAAGGACAUGUUUCUCGUCUAUGGAGGUGACGAAGAGCUCGUCGUAAAGGGUUACGUCGACACUAGCUUCGACACAGAUCUGGAUGACUCUAAUGUCACGCCCAAUAUGCGAUACUAUCCUAAAGAGACUCGAAGGUCCCACCAAGGAUAGAACCGCAUAUUGAAACCCUUUUGCAAGGUGGAUAUCAUUACAUCAACAUUACAUAAUAGAUGGGGAUACAUACAAAAGGCAUACAAUGCCACACGAAUAUAACAUCAUCAUACAUAAGAGCAUCAUCCGACUACGGAUGAAACACAAACAGGAACUCAAACAACAUCCACCCUGCUAGCCCAGGCUGCCGACCUGGAACCUAUCCCAUGAUCGAAGAAGAAGCAGAAGAAGAACUCCAAAACAAGCAAACAUCGCUCUCGCAUCAUGAUCAUCGCAUAACCUGUACCUGCAACUGUUGUUGUAGUAAUCUGUGAGCCACGAGGACUCAGCAAUCCCAUUACCAUGAGUAUCAAGACUAGCAAAGCUUAAUGGGUAAGGAAGGGAUAAAGUGGUGAGGUUGCAGCAGCGACUAAGCAUAUAUGGUGGCUAACAUACGCAAAUAAGAGCGAGAAGAGGAGCAAUGGAAUGGUCGUGAAGCUAGCAAUGAUCAAGAAGUGAUCCUGAACUCCUACUUACGUCAAACAUAACCCAAAACCGUGUUCACUUCCCGGACUCCGCAGAAAAGAGACCAUCACGACUACACACGCGGUUGAUGCAUUUUAAUUCGGGUCUGGUGUCAAGUUAUCUACAACCGGACAUUAACAAAUUCCCAUCUGCCGCAUAACCGCGGGCACGGCUUUCGAAAUAUUAUAACCCUGCAGGGGUGUCCCAACUUAGCCCAUGAUAAGCUCUUGUGAUCAACGAAGGCUAUACCUUCGCCUAGGAAGACCCGAUCAGACUCAGAAUCCCGGUUUACAAGACAUUUCGACAAUGGUAAAACAAGACCAGUAAAGCCGCCCGAUGCGCCGACAAUCCCGAUAGAAGCUGCACAUAUCUUGUUCUCAGGGCAACACCAGAAGAGACAUCCUACGAGUAAAACUAGACCUCGAGUUUCCCCGAGGGGGCCCCGCAGUCUACUCGGUUCGGACCAACACUUAGACAAGCACUGGCCGGGGGGGGCUAAAAUAAAGAUGACCCUUGGGUUAAUUACUCCCAAGGGAAAUGUAGGUGGUGGUGAGGCAAAUGGUAAAACCAAUGUUGGGCCUUGCUGGAGGAGUUUUAUUCAGAGCGAACUGUCAAGGGGGUCCCAUAAAUCACCCAACCGCGUAAGGAACGCAAAAUCCGGGAACAUAACACCGGUAUGACGGAAACUAGGGCGGCAAGAGUGGAACAAAACACCAGGCAUAAGGCCGAGUCUUCCACCCUUUACCAAGUAUAUAGAUGCAUUAAUUAAAUAAGAGAUAUUGUGAUAUCCCAACAUAAUCCUGUCCAUCAUGGGGCAAUCUUCAACUUCACCUGCAACUAACAACGCUAUAAGAGGGGCUGAGCAAAGCGGUAACAUAGCCAAGCAAUGGUUUGCUAGGAAGGGUGUCAAAGGUUAGAGGUUCAUGGCAAUUUGGGAGGCUUGAUGAGCAAAAGAUAGGUAACGCCGCAUAGCGAUAGAAUGAAGCAACUAGCAUAGAAAUGAUAGUAGUGAGAUCCAGGGUAGCGGUCAUCUUGCCUGAAAUCUCGCUAGGAAGAAGAACGAGUCCAUGAAGAAGAUGAAGCCAUGAAAACGAACCAAGCGUAGACGAACGAAUCCUCACGAUCGCAACGAAACGAGAACUAUUGAGAAGAAGUACACAACAUGGUAAACACACCACACAUGAACAAGACAUGAUGCACAACCAAGCAUGAUGCAUGACAAGACUACAUGAAGCUACUCAUGGCAAGAGAUGAUGCAAACAAGAGAAACACAUCAAUGAAAGUUUAAAUUAGGCCGGAAACAACAUAUAACAAUUCCGGUAAGUCCUCAUAUGCAAAUUUCGAAAUUGGUCCAGAUCUGAAUAAACCUUAUGUUCAAGUUGUUAAACAGCAAGUUAAGAUGCACCAAGAUGAUCUACACGAGAUUCUAGUCAAGUUACAUAUAAAGUUCAUUUAAUUCGGAGCUACGGCCUAGAAGAUAUGAGCAAAACAAGUUAAACAUGGCAUUGAUGCAAAAGGCAUACAAACAUCAAGAAAACACCUCAAAACAAAGAUGCAACAUGAUAAUAUGAAGCUACAUGCAAAAUCAAGCAAUUUCCAUAUAGAGCACACUCAAAACGGAGGAACGGUUCAACACACACACACUAUACAAGUUUAAAGGACAAGCUGUCCAAAACAACAACUAGGCAUAUUGCAAGCAUCAAAACAACAUGCUAUAACACCCCAACAUGAGAACAAAAGACAUGGACAUGAUGUACAUGUAAAGCAUAACAAAACAUGAACACUGAGAUAUCUCCAUAAAACACUAGAACAUGCUCAAACACACAUGGCAAGAUUGCAAAUAAUAACAGUUUCAGACUUUGCAGAAAUAACAUCAGGUUGCAAUGUUUAGAGCUAUCAAAGAACAUGCUACAGGAACUUAUCAUGGCAAACAAAGGAAUGGAAUGAUACUACUAAAUGCAUAGAACAAAAGUCCUUUACUGACCAUGAGCCAAAAGGGCACAGAAAAUAUGAUGGCACCCAUGUAAACGUAGCAAAUGAUAUGACAGAUUCAAACAUGGCAGGAACAACGAUAAGUAGGCAUGUUGGUGAGCUUUUACCCCUCACCAAAGAGCAAUACAUGGCAUGGCAAGGCAACCAAUAGUAAGAUGGCAUAUUUAUGAAGCUAAGCAUGGCAAGAUCAAGUUCAUAGGGUGCAUGGAUCACUAGCAAAGCUCAUGGCAACAACUGAACUUAAUGAUAACAGGCUGACAGCAACAUUAUUUAGCAAAUUUGGAGCAAGAUUACAGCAAGCUACAGCAGGCUAUAAAUGCAACCAGGGGCACAGAUGGAUAGUGAAUGACAUGUAGAACAAAACAUCCUUAGUGAACAUCUCCAGAUUAUGCAUAUAAUGACUUGUAGCAGCAGGUUUACAUAGCAUCACAAAAUAACAGAUUCAGCCUAGCAAAACAGUAACAACAAGUACCCCACUUAACAAGCUUGAUGCACUCAGCACAAUACUCACAAAAAUACAUGAAUUGCACCCCUGUAAAUAUGACAUGAUGUAGUUCAAAACACAUGUAGGACCCAUGCUUAUAGGAUGCACACAUCAAUCAUGGCAAAAAUGACAAAUGAGCAAGUUCUGUUAACAGACAGUAGACAACAUCAUAUAGCACUCUUGCAACGAUGAUUCAGGCAUCAAGAUAAGCUCAAAUGAACAUGGUGCAAUGGAAUGAAAUGUAGAGCAUAUCAUGAUGAACAAUUUGGCAUAUUACACGAACAAAACGGACCAAUAUGCAACAAGUUAUGACAUGUCGAAGGGGGCACCAAAAUGCAAAUAAUUCAGGGACUUAGGAAUUUUCGGAGGGGGGGGGAGUCAACCUCAGAUCUGCACGUGGAUUCGUUUGGUUGGAUGGAUGGGGACGUCCAGGGUCAUUGUGGUGCAGAUCGGAGAGGUGGGCGAUGGGGUGGCCGGAGCGGCAGCUCCGGCGAGCCGAGAGGGCCGGAGUCGGCCGCGGGACGGCGGAUCCGGGGCGCGCCUGCCCGGAUCUAGCCGGGGCGAGGCCAAACGGUGACGAGGAGGCGGCGGUCGGGCGGCGCGGUGCUGGCGGCCGGGAGCUCGACGGGGCGGAGGCGCGUGGCGGCGGCAUCCCGGAGGCGGGGUAUAACGCCCUCGAUGCGGCUAUAGCUCCCACGUGUCGAGGCACGACUUAGAGGCAUAACCGCAUUGAAAGCAGUGUCGCAAGUCAGGCAAUCAUUACAACAUCCCAUGUAAUAUAUAAUAAAAGGGGGAGAUAACAUAGUUGGCUUACACUCGCCACGUCACAUCAGAGUACAUAAAUAACAUCCAUCAAACAAACACUCAUGGCCCGACUGCGGCGCCAAAAUAGAAAAGAACCCCCCAACAUGCGACAAGGUCCUGAAUCGAUAACCCCAACUAGGCACCACUACUGAUCAUCCGGAAAAGACACGUAGUAUCGCUGAGAGUCCUCGUCGAACUCCCACUUGAGCUCGUAAUCGUCAACUGGAGCAGAAACACCUGGACCUGCAUCUGGAGUUGUAGUAUCUGUGAGCCACAGGGACUCAGCAAUCUCACACCCACGCGAUCAAGACUAUUUAAGCUCAUAGGAAUGGAUAAGGCAAAAAUAUGUGGAGCUGCAGCAAGCGACUAGCAUAUGUGGUGGCUAACUUAUACGCAAAAGAGAGCGAGAAGAGAAGGCGAAGCACGAGCGAGAAGCUAAAGGAACAUCCUGCGCAAGCAUAACUCCAACACCGUGUCCACUUCCCGGACUCCGCCGAGAAGGGGCCAUCACGGUAACACACACGGUUGAUUCAUUUUAAUUAAGUUUAGUUCAAGUAAUCUACAACCGGACAUUAACAAAUUCCCAUCUGCCCAUAACCGCGGGCACGGCUUUCGAAAGUUCAAUCCCUGCAGGGGGGUCCCAACUUAGCCCAUGACAAGCUCUCACGGUCAACGAAGGAAUAGACCUCCACCCGAGACACACCGAUCAGACUCGGCAACCCGGUACAACAAGACAAUUCGACAGGUUAAAACAAGACCAGCAACACCGCCCGAAUGUGCCGACAAAUCCCGAUAGGAGCUGCACAUAUCUCUUUCUCAGGGCACACUCAGAUGAGCGCUCCAUACAACUAAAACCAAACCUCGAGUUUCCCCGAGGGGGCGCUGCACAGGACUCUAGUUUGGACCAACGCUCAGAGGAGCACUGGCCCGGGGGGGGUUAAAAUAAGAUGACCUUCGGGCUCCGGAAACCCAAGGGAAAAAGAGGCUAGGUGGCAAAUGGUAAAACCAAUGUUGGGCAUUGCUGGAAAAGCUUUAAUCAAGGCGAACUAUCAAGGGGUUCCCAUUAUAACCCAACCGCGUAAGGGACGCAACAAUCCGGGAACAUAACACCGAUAUGACGGAAACUAGGGCGGCAAGAGUGGAACAAAACACUAGGCGAGAGGCCGAGCCUUCCACCCUUUACCAAGUAUAUAGAUGCAUUAAGACAACAUAGCAAUAUAAUGAUAUCCCAACAAGAAAAUAAAUGUUCCAACAAGGAACGGCUCCAAUCUUCACCUGCAACUAACAACGCUAUAAGAAGGGCUGAGCAAAGCGGUAACAUAGCCAAUCAACGGUUUGCUAGGACAAUGGUGGGUUAGAGGAUCAACAUGGCAAUUGGGAGGCUGACAAGCAAAAGGUAGGCAUCGUAGCAGUGGCAAAGCAAAAGAGCGAGCAAACUAGUAUAGCAAAGAUAAUAGUGAUUUCGAGGGUAUGAUCAUCUUGCCUGCAUAGUUGUCAGAGUUGACUGGAUCCUCACAAGCAAACUCAACGGGCUCCUCGGUAGCGAACUCGUCUCCCGGCUCUACCCAACAAGACAAACAAGCAACAAGGAUACAAUCAACCACGGGCAAGACCAAGCAAUAUGAUGAAAUGACGAUAUGCUAUGCGGGAUGCGAUGCGGGAUGCAAAAUGCAAGAUAUGACAGGAAAUGCGUGAACCUGGCAUCAACUUGGAAAACAAAGUGUGCCACUGGAUAGAGGGGAUGAAAUCGCUUGAAAACGAUAUAAAGAUCAUUGGAAUCGGAGCUACGGUUUGGAAAUGGCGAGCGUUUUAAGAUACGACACCGGUCUGCGAUUUACAGCAAGUAGGCAUCUAAAUGCAACGAAAUGAACAUGCUACAGCCACCAAACAUGGAAACAAAAUAUAUGGAAGUGAUGUACACAAGAUGGUUGACAAAACACUAGCACUGAGCCAUAGGCAAAUUCAUUCAUUAAGAGGUUCAAACAAGCAUGGUUAAAACGCAAAUGCAAAACAGAUUCCAGACUUAGUGAAAUUAACACUAGUCUGAAAUUUCAGAUCACGAUGCUCUCUUCGGAGCAGCAAAACAACAUGAUAGAAAACCUGAACAUGACAAGUAAGAACAUGGCAUGGAGCUACUCAACAAGCUUAACAAAACACCCAAAGUGACCUGGGGCCAAAAGGGUUCACAAAAUACUCUACCGAGCUCACGAACAUAGCUCGAACACAAUCAGUUUUCAGACUUAGUGAAAACUGAGACACGCUGAAAUAUAACUCACGAAGGCAUGUAAACGAGCUCGAUGCACUCACUACGGUGCAAGUCAUGGGAAGGAAAGCAUAUAACCAGCAAGAAGGCACAAUGUGCUAGCUACACAUGGCAAGAACAAAGGCAUAGCAUGCAUGGAACACUAACGGUAGCAUCGGCAAAAUCGCAAACAAGUUGACGAUCUGCCCAGAUUAACAACGAAGCAAAAGUUGAGCUCGAUUGAGUCAACCUAGAGCACUCCACAUGUGCAAACAAAGACAUGGAUGGAUAGAGCAUAACAUAAGUAUCAAAAUUCCCUUACUGAUCAUCCUCAAAAGAGGCACGGAUCACUAGGAAACAAGCUGGACAUAUAGCAUCAUGAACUAAAAUAUCCCAGACUUAGUGAAAAUCACUAAGUCCCUGAAAUCUGCAAUCUCAGGUACCUCUCUUCGCAAGCUUGCACAAGACAACACACACAUCCUAAAAAUACAUGGGUGGCACCUCUGGAAAGAAGACAAAAUGCUUAACAAUUCAUCCCAAAGGGGCACAGGCAUAUCAUGCACGAAUUAAACAUGGCAAAAAUGACAAAAGUGCAUGAUGAACUAACGGAUCUGCAAUUUAACUCACGAAGCCUCCUUCUAACAGCAUUUUGGGCAUCAAGAUGACCUCAAAUGCAAAUGAUGCAAUGGAAUGAAAUGAUGUACAUGUCGAGGCGAAGAUUUUGGUAUAUCAUAUGCCCAAAACGGAGCUACGGCUGCGGAGAUACAAGCAGUCAAAGAAUGCAUAAAACUAGGGUUUCUGGACAAAAGUCAACGGGGGGGGGCUUGGACCUGAGAUCUGGAACCGCACGGAAACCGAGGAGGCGCCGGAACACUGUAGCAAUGGGGCGUCGCCGGAGCUCGUCGCGGCUCGCCGGAGGAAGAGGGACGGCGGCGUCGGGCGCCGGGGCGACGAGGGGCGGAGGCGGCGGCGAAGAGCGGGGGCGGCGGCGUAGUGGCUUCGGCCACCGGAGUCGCUGGACGGGNNNNNNNNNNNNNNNNNNNNNNNNNNNNNNNNNNNNNNNNNNNNNNNNNNNNNNNNNNNNNNNNNNNNNNNNNNNNNNNNNNNNNNNNNNNNNNNNNNNNNNNNNNNNNNNNNNNNNNNNNNNNNNNNNNNNNNNNNNNNNNNNNNNNNNNNNNNNNNNNNNNNNNNNNNNNNNNNNNNNNNNNNNNNNNNNNNNNNNNNNNNNNNNNNNNNNNNNNNNNNNNNNNNNNNNNNNNNNNNNNNNNNNNNNNNNNNNNNNNNNNNNNNNNNNNNNNNNNNNNNNNNNNNNNNNNNNNNNNNNNNNNNNNNNNNNNNNNNNNNNNNNNNNNNNNNNNNNNNNNNNNNNNNNNNNNNNNNNNNNNNNNNNNNNNNNNNNNNNNNNNNNNNNNNNNNNNNNNNNNNNNNNNNNNNNNNNNNNNNNNNNNNNNNNNNNNNNNNNNNNNNNNNNNNNNNNNNNNNNNNNNNNNNNNNNNNNNNNNNNNNNNNNNNNNNNNNNNNNNNNNNNNNNNNNNNNNNNNNNNNNNNNNNNNNNNNNNNNNNNNNNNNNNNNNNNNNNNNNNNNNNNNNNNNNNNNNNNNNNNNNNNNNNNNNNNNNNNNNNNNNNNNNNNNNNNNNNNNNNNNNNNNNNNNNNNNNNNNNNNNNNNNNNNNNNNNNNNNNNNNNNNNNNNNNNNNNNNNNNNNNNNNNNNNNNNNNNNNNNNNNNNNNNNNNNNNNNNNNNNNNNNNNNNNNNNNNNNNNNNNNNNNNNNNNNNNNNNNNNNNNNNNNNNNNNNNNNNNNNNNNNNNNNNNNNNNNNNGAAUUUCAAAGGGGGCCUUGCCCGAACUUGCUUGAAAGCUGUUGUUGUAAGAGAAUUCAGCAUAAGGAAGACAGUCCUCCCACUUCAUGCCGAAGGAGAUCACACAAGCCCUGAGCAUAUCUUCAAGAAUUUGGUUGACACGCUCGACUUGACCGCUUGUUUGAGGAUGGAAAGCUGUGCUGAAGCGGAUGUUGGUGCCCAUGGCCUUCUGAAAAGAAUCCCAAAACUUGGAGGUAAAGAUGCUGCCACGGUCUGAAGAUAUCACUUGAGGAAUACCGUGCAGAGAGACAAUGCGAGAGGUAUAGAGUUCCGCCAAUUGAGCUGCAGUGAUCGACUCUUUGAUAGGCAGAAAAUGCGCCACUUUGGUGAGCUUGUCGAUGACAACAAAUAUAGCAUCAUUGCCACGCUUGGACUUUGGAAACCCAGUCACGAAGUCCAUUUCAAUGUGGUCAAACUUCCAUUCUGAAAUGGCAAGAGGUUGGAGGAGACCAGCUGGCCUUUGGUGUUCUGCCUUCACUCUUCUGCAGACAUCACAUUCAUUCACGAAUUGAGCGAUCUCGCGCUUCAUUCGAGUCCACCAAUAAGCUUGCUUGAGGUCCUGAUACAUCUUCGUACUCCCAGGGUGGAUGGAGAGGAGAGAGUUGUGAGCCUUGUUCAUGAUCACCUUACGAAGUUCACCUUUGGGCACAACAAUUCGAUCCUCGAAGAAGAGAGUGUCCUUGUCAUCAAGUCGGUAGCACUUGUACUUGGACUGACUCUUUGCAAUACCAAUCUUCACCUUUUUCACCAUAGCAUCAAGAAGUUGGGCUUGGCGAAUCCGGUCUUCUAAGGUAGGAGAGACUUGAAGGUUGGCGAGGAAACCUUGAGGAACAACUUGCAGAUUAAGUUUGCGGAAAGCUUCACAAAGCUCGGGUUGAUAAGGCUUGAGAAUCAGACUGUUGCAAUAUGCUUUCCUGCUCAAAGCGUCAGCAAUCACAUUAGCCUUGCCUGGAGUAUACUCGAUACCCGGAUUGUACUCUUGAAUCAUUUCGACCCAUCGAGUCUGCCUGAGGUUGAGAUUAGGCUGAGUGAAGAUGUACUUGAGACUCUUGUGAUCAGUGAAAAUAUCCACUUUCCUUCCCAAUAGAAGAUGUCUCCAAGUCAACAAAGCGUGCACAACUGCCGCCAACUCGAGAUCAUGAGUGGGGUAGUUCUUCUCAUUAGGUUUCAACUGGCGAGAGGUAUAAGCGACAACUUUCUUCUCUUGCAUCAGUACAGCACCGAGACCUUGGAGAGAGGCAUCACAAAAGACCUCGUACGGCUUGGUUUCAUCAGGCGGAGUCAGAACUGGAGCAGUGAUCAAUUUCUCUUUCAAAGUGGAGCAGUCUCCUCAUCGCUCUGAUACCAACUUAUAACGCCCUCGAUGCGGCUAUAGCUCCCACGUGUCGAGGCACGACUUAGAGGCAUAACUGCAUUGAAAGCAGUGUUGCAAGUCAGGCAAUCAUUACAACAUCCCAUGUAAUAUAUAAUAAAAGGGGGAGAUAACAUAGUUGGCUUACACUCGCCACCUCACAUCAGAGUACAUAAAUAACAUCCAUCAAACAAACACUCAUGGCCCGACUACGGCACCAAAAUAGAAAAGAACCCCCAACAUGCGACAAGGUCCUGAAUCGAUAACCCCAACUAGGCACCACUACUGAUCAUCCGGAAAAGACACGUAGUAUCGCUGAGAGUCCUCGUCGAACUCCCACUUGAGCUCGUAAUCGUCAACUGGAGUAGAAACACCUGGACCUGCAUCUGGAGUUGUAGUAUCUGUGAGCCACAGGGACUCAGCAAUCUCACACCCACGCGAUCAAGACUAUUUAAGCUCAUAGGAAUGGAUAAGGCAAAAAUAUGUGGAGCUGCAGCAAGCGACUAGCAUAUGUGGUGGCUAACUUAUACGCAAAAGAGAGCGAGAAGAGAAGGCGAAGCACGAGCGAGAAGCUAAAGGAACAUCCUGCGCAAGCAUAACUCCAACACCGUGUCCACUUCCCGGACUCCGCCGAGAAGGGGCCAUCACGGUAACACACACGGUUGAUUCAUUUUAAUUAAGUUUAGUUCAAGUAAUCUACAACCGGACAUUAACAAAUUCCCAUCUGCCCAUAACCGCGGGCACGGCUUUCGAAAGUUCAAUCCCUGCAGGGGGGUCCCAACUUAGCCCAUGACAAGCUCUCACGGUCAACGAAGGAAUAGACCUCCACCCGAGACACACCGAUCAGACUCGGCAACCCGGUACAACAAGACAAUUCGACAGGUUAAAACAAGACCAGCAACACCGCCCGAAUGUGCCGACAAAUCCUGAUAGGAGCUGCACAUAUCUCUUUCUCAGGGAACACUCAGAUGAGCGCUCCAUACAACUAAAUCCAAACCUCGAGUUUCCCCGAGGGGGCGCUGCACAGGACUCUAGUUUGGACCAACGCUCAGAGGAGCACUGGCCCGGGGGGGUUAAAAUAAGAUGACCUUCGGGCUCCGGAAACCCAAGGGAAAAAGAGGCUAGGUGGCAAAUGGUAAAACCAAUGUUGGGCAUUGCUGGAAAAGCUUUAAUCAAGGCGAACUAUCAAGGUGUUCCCAUUAUAACCCAACCGCGUAAGGGACGCAACAAUCCGGGAACAUAACACCGAUAUGACGGAAACUAGGGCGGCAAGAGUGGAACAAAACACUAGGCGAGAGGCCGAGCCUUCCACCCUUUACCAAGUAUAUAGAUGCAUUAAGACAACAUAGCAAUAUAAUGAUAUCCCAACAAGAAAAUAAAUGUUCCAACAAGGAACGGCUCCAAUCUUCACCUGCAACUAACAACGCUAUAAGAAGGGCUGAGCAAAGCGGUAACAUAGCUAAUCAACGGUUUGCUAGGACAAUGGUGGGUUAGAGGAUCAACAUGGCAAUUGGGAGGCUGACAAGCAAAAGGUAGGCAUCGUAGCAGUGGCAAACCAAAAGAGAGAGCAAACUAGCAUAGCAAAGAUAGUAGUGAUUUCGAGGGUAUGAUCAUCUUGCCUGCACAGUUGUCAGAGUUGACUGGAUCCUCACAAGCAAACUCAACGGGCUCCUCGGUAGCAAACUCGUCUCCCGGCUCUACCCAACAAGACAAACAAGCAACAAGGAUACAAUCAACCAUGGGCAAGACCAAGCAAUAUGAUGAAAUGACGAUAUGCUAUGCGGGAUGCGAUGCGGGAUGCAAAAUGCAAGAUAUGACAGGAAAUGCGUGAACCUGGCAUCAACUUGGAAAACCAAGUGUGCCACUGGAUAGAGGGGAUGAAAUCGCUUGAAAACAAUAUAAAGAUCAUUGGAAUCGGAGCUACGGUUUCGAAAUGGCGAGCGUUUUAAGAUACGACACCGGUCUGCGAUUUACAGCAAGUAGGCAUCUAAAUGCAACGAAAUGAACAUGCUACAGCCACCAAACAUGGAAACAAAAUACAUGGCAGUGAUGUACACAAGAUGGUUGACAAAACACUAGCACUGAGCCAUAGGCAAAUUCAUCCAUUAAGAGGUUCAAACAAGCAUGGUUAAAACACAAAUGCAAAACAGAUUCCAGACUUAGUGAAAUUAACACUAGUCUGAAAUUUCAGAUCACGAUGCUCUCUUCGGAGUAGCAAAACAACAUGAUAGAAAACCUGAACAUGACAAGUAAGAACAUGGCAUGGAGCUACUCAACAAGCUUAACAAAACACCCAAAGUGACCUGGGGCCAAAAGGGUUCACAAAAUACUCUACCGAGCUCACGAACAUAGCUCGAACACAAUCAGUUUUCAGACUUAGUGAAAACUGAGACACGCUGAAAUAUAACUCACGAAGGCAUGUAAACGAGCUCGAUGCACUCACUACGGUGCAAGUCAUGGCAAGGAAAGCAUAUAACCAGCAAGAAGGCACAAUAUGCUAGCUACACAUGGCAAGAACAAAGGCAUAGCAUGCAUGGAACACUAACGGUAGCAUCGGCAAAAUCGCAAACAAGUUGACGAUCUGCCCAGAUUAACAACGAAGCAAAAGUUGAGCUCGAUCGAGUCAACCUAGAGCACUCCACAUGUGCAAACAAAGACAUGGGUGGAUAGAGCAUAACAUAAAUGUCAAAACUCCCUUACUGAUCAUCCUCAAAAGAGGCACGGAUCACUAGGAAACAAGCUGGACAUAUAGCAUCAUGAACUAAAAUAUCCCAGACUUAGUGAAAAUCACUAAGUCCCUGAAAUCUGCAAUCUCAGGUACCUCUCUUCGCAAGCUUGCACAAGACAACACACACAUCCUAAAAAUACAUGGGUGGCACCUCUGAAAAUAAGACAAAAUGCUUAACAAUUCAUCCCAAAGGGGCACAGGCAUAUCAUGCACGAAUUAAACAUGGCAAAAAUGACAAAAGUGCAUGAUGAACUAACGGAUCUGCAAUUUAACUCACGAAGCCUCCUUCUAACAGCAUUUUGGGCAUCAAGAUGACCUCAAAUGCAAAUGAUGCAAUGGAAUGAAAUGAUGUACAUGUCGAGGCGAAGAUUUUGAUAUAUCAUAUGCCCAAAACGGAGCUACGGCUGCGGAGAUACAAUCAGUCAAAGAAUGCAUAAAAACUAGGGUUUCUGGACAAAAGUCAAGGGGGGGGUUGGACCUGAGAUCUGGAACCGCACGGAAACCGAGGCGGCGCCGGAACACUGUAGCAACGGGGCGUCGCCGGAGCUCGUCGCGGCUCGCCGGAGGAAGAGGGACGGCGGCGUCGGGCGCCGGGGCGACNNNNNNNNNNNNNNNNNNNNNNNNNNNNNNNNNNNNNNNNNNNNNNNNNNNNNNNNNNNNNNNNNNNNNNNNNNNNNNNNNNNNNNNNNNNNNNNNNNNNNNNNNNNNNNNNNNNNNNNNNNNNNNNNNNNNNNNNNNNNNNNNNNNNNNNNNNNNNNNNNNNNNNNNNNNNNNNNNNNNNNNNNNNNNNNNNNNNNNNNNNNNNNNNNNNNNNNNNNNNNNNNNNNNNNNNNNNNNNNNNNNNNNNNNNNNNNNNNNNNNNNNNNNNNNNNNNNNNNNNNNNNNNNNNNNNNNNNNNNNNNNNNNNNNNNNNNNNNNNNNNNNNNNNNNNNNNNNNNNNNNNNNNNNNNNNNNNNNNNNNNNNNNNNNNNNNNUUUUUUUUUAAAACUAGGGUUUCGGACGGGGGAAGAAGAGAUCCGAAUGGAGGGGGGUAUAAAUAGGCAUAGAGGGAGCUAGGAGAGUCCAAAUGAGGUGCGGUUUUCACCCACACGAUCGUGAUCGAACGCUUUAGGACAUGGAGUAGAGUUUGGUGGGUUUUGGGCCAAAUUUGGAGGGUGUUGGGCUGCAACACCCACGAGGCCUUUUCGGUCCCUCGGUUAACCGUUGGAGUAUCAAACGAAGUCCAAAUGACCAGAAACUUGACAGGCGGUCUACCGGUAGUAAACCAAGGCCGCUUGGCAAGUCUCGGUCCAAUCCGGAAAUGUUUAAACCCCACACACGAAAGAAGACUAGAAAUGACCACCGGAGGAGAACGAAGCGCCGGAAUGCAAAACGGACAACGGGGAAAAUGCUCGAAUGCAUGAGAUGAACAUGUAUGCAAAUGCAAUGCACGUGAUGACAUGAUAAGAGAUGCACGAAAAAGAAAACAACACACGGAGACAAAGACCCGAACCCGAGAAAUAAAUAUAACUUAGCGUCGGAGACGGCAAGAGUUGGAUACAAAUAUGGAAAGUAUAUCUGGGGCGUUACAACACUCCACCACUACGAAAAGAUCUCGUCCCGAGAUCUAGGACUGAAAGAACUCCGGGUACUCAGAACGGAGGUGAUCCUCGCGUUCCCAGGUAGCUUCACGGUCGGAAUGGUGAGCCCACUUGACUUUGAGAAAUUUAAUUGACUUGUUGCGAGUCUUGCGUUCGGUCUCUUCAAGAAUAGCAACUGGGUGCUCACGAUAGGAGAGAUCUUCUUGGAGCUCAAUGUCCUCGAAGUUGACGGUGCGUUCAGGAGUCUUGAAGCACUUUCGAAGCUGAGAGACAUGGAACACAUCAUGAACAUUUGCAAAGUUUGAAGGAAGCUCGAGUUGAUAGGCGAGGUCGCCUCUCUUGCUGACAAUCUUGAAAGGUCCCACGUAUCUAGGGGCAAGCUUCCCUUUGAUACAGAAGCGACGAGUACCUUUCAUGGGAGAGACGCGGAGGUAAACAUGAUCUCCGAUCUCGAAAACCAGAUCACGGUGCUUACUAUCAUAGUAGCACUUCUGGCGGGAUUGAGCUGCUUUGAGGUUAUCACGAAUGACUUUGCACAUUUCUUCUGCUUCUGUGAUUAAGUCAUUACCCAGCAGCUGACAUUCACCGGUUUCAGACCAGUUGAGAGGGGUACGGCACUUCCUGCCAUAUAGAAUUUCAAAGGGGGCCUUGCCCGAACUUGCUUGAAAGCUGUUGUUGUAAGAGAAUUCAGCAUAAGGAAGACAGUCCUCCCACUUCAUGCCGAAGGAGAUCACACAAGCCCUGAGCAUAUCUUCAAGAAUUUGGUUGACACGCUCGACUUGACCGCUUGUUUGAGGAUGGAAAGCUGUGCUGAAGCGGAUGUUGGUGCCCAUGGCCUUCUGAAAAGAAUCCCAAAACUUGGAGGUAAAGAUGCUGCCACGGUCUGAAGAUAUCACUUGAGGAAUACCGUGCAGAGAGACAAUGCGAGAGGUAUAGAGUUCCGCCAAUUGAGCUGCAGUGAUCGACUCUUUGAUAGGCAGAAAAUGCGCCACUUUGGUGAGCUUGUCGAUGACAACAAAUAUAGCAUCAUUGCCACGCUUGGACUUUGGAAACCCAGUCACGAAGUCCAUUUCAAUGUGGUCAAACUUCCAUUCUGAAAUGGCAAGAGGUUGGAGGAGACCAGCUGGCCUUUGGUGUUCUGCCUUCACUCUUCUGCAGACAUCACAUUCAUUCACGAAUUGAGCGAUCUCGCGCUUCAUUCGAGUCCACCAAUAAGCUUGCUUGAGGUCCUGAUACAUCUUCGUACUCCCAGGGUGGAUGGAGAGGAGAGAGUUGUGAGCCUUGUUCAUGAUCACCUUACGAAGUUCACCUUUGGGCACAACAAUUCGAUCCUCGAAGAAGAGAGUGUCCUUGUCAUCAAGUCGGUAGCACUUGUACUUGGACUGACUCUUUGCAAUACCAAUCUUCACCUUUUUCACCAUAGCAUCAAGAAGUUGGGCUUGGCGAAUCUGGUCUUCUAAGGUAGGAGAGACUUGAAGGUUGGCGAGGAAACCUUGAGGAACAACUUGCGGAUUAAGUUUGCGGAAAGCUUCACAAAGCUCGGGUUGAUAAGGCUUGAGAAUCAGACUGUUGCAAUAUGCUUUCCUGCUCAAAGCGUCAGCAAUCACAUUAGCCUUGCCUGGAGUAUACUCGAUACCCGGAUUGUACUCUUGAAUCAUUUCGACCCAUCGAGUCUGCCUGAGGUUGAGAUUAGGCUGAGUGAAGAUGUACUUGAGACUCUUGUGAUCAGUGAAAAUAUCCACUUUCCUUCCCAAUAGAAGAUGUCUCCAAGUCAACAAAGCGUGCACAACUGCCGCCAACUCGAGAUCAUGAGUGGGGUACUUCUUCUCAUUAGGUUUCAACUGGCGAGAGGUAUAAGCGACAACUUUCUUCUCUUGCAUCAGUACAGCACCGAGACCUUGGAGAGAGGCAUCACAAAAGACCUCGUACGGCUUGGUUUCAUCAGGCGGAGUCAGAACUGGAGCAGUGAUCAAUUUCUCUUUCAAAGUGGAGCAGUCUCCUCAUCGCUCUGAUACCAACUUAUAACGCCCUCGAUGCGGCUAUAGCUCCCACGUGUCGAGGCACGACUUAGAGGCAUAACUGCAUUGAAAGCAGUGUCGCAAGUCAGGCAAUCAUUACAACAUCCCAUGUAAUAUAUAAUAAAAGGGGGAGAUAACAUAGUUGGCUUACACUCGCCACCUCACAUCAGAGUACAUAAAUAACAUCCAUCAAACAAACACUCAUGGCCCGACUAUGGCGCCAAAAUAGAAAAGAACCCCCAACAUGCGACAAGGUCCUGAAUCGAUAACCCCAACUAGGCACCACUACUGAUCAUCCGGAAAAGACACGUAGUAUCGCUGAGAGUCCUCGUCGAACUCCCACUUGAGCUCGUAAUCGUCAACUGGAGUAGAAACACCUGGACCUGCAUCUGGAGUUGUAGUAUCUGUGAGCCACAGGGACUCAGCAAUCUCACACCCACGCGAUCAAGACUAUUUAAGCUCAUAGGAAUGGAUAAGGCAAAAAUAUGUGGAGCUGCAGCAAGCGACUAGCAUAUGUGGUGGCUAACUUAUACGCAAAAGAGAGCGAGAAGAGAAGGCGAAGCACGAGCGAGAAGCUAAAGGAACAUCGUGCGUAAGCAUAACUCCAACACCGUGUCCACUUCCCGGACUCCGCCGAGAAGGGGCCAUCACGGUAACACACACGGUUGAUUCAUUUUAAUUAAGUUUAGUUCAAGUAAUCUACAACCGGACAUUAACAAAUUCCCAUCUGCCCAUAACCGCGGGCACGGCUUUCGAAAGUUCAAUCCCUGCAGGGGGGUCCCAACUUAGCCCAUGACAAGCUCUCACGGUCAACGAAGGAAUAGACCUCCACCCGAGACACACCGAUCAGACUCGGCAACCCGGUACAACAAGACAAUUCGACAGGUUAAAACAAGACCAGCAACACCGCCCGAAUGUGCCGACAAAUCCCGAUAGGAGCUGCACAUAUCUCUUUCUCAGGGCACACUCAGAUGAGCGCUCCAUACAACUAAAACCAAACCUCGAGUUUCCCCGAGGGGGCGCUGCACAGGACUCUAGUUUGGACCAACGCUCAGAGGAGCACUGGCCCGGGGGGGUUAAAAUAAGAUGACCUUCGGGUUCCGGAAACCCAAGGGAAAAAGAGGCUAGGUGGCAAAUGGUAAAAUCAAUGUUGGGCAUUGCUGGAAAAGCUUUAAUCAAGGCGAACUAUCAAGGUGUUCCCAUUAUAACCCAACCGCGUAAGGGACGCAACAAUCCGGGAACAUAACACCGAUAUGACGGAAACUAGGGCGGUAAGAGUGGAACAAAACACUAGGCGAGAGGCCGAGCCUUCCACCCUUUACCAAGUAUAUAGAUGCAUUAAGACAACAUAGCAAUAUAAUGAUAUCCCAACAAGAAAAUAAAUGUUCCAACAAGGAACGGCUCCAAUCUUCACCUGCAACUAACAACGCUAUAAGAAGGGCUGAGCAAAGCGGUAACAUAGCCAAUCAAUGGUUUGCUAGGACAAUGGUGGGUUAGAGGAUCAACAUGGCAAUUGGGAGGCUGACAAGCAAAAGGUAGGCAUCGUAGCAGUGGCAAAGCAAAAGAGCGAGCAAACUAGCAUAGCAAAGAUAGUAGUGAUUUCGAGGGUAUGAUCAUCUUGCCUGCACAGUUGUCAGAGUUGACUGGAUCCUCACAAGCAAACUCAAAGGGCUCCUCGGUAGUGAACUCGUCUCCCGGCUCUACCCAACAAGACAAACAAGCAACAAGGAUACAAUCAACCACGGGCAAGACCAAGCAAUAUGAUGAAAUGACGAUAUGCUAUGCGGGAUGCGAUGCGGGAUGCAAAAUGCAAGAUAUGACAGGAAAUGCGUGAACCUGGCAUCAACUUGGAAAACCAAGUGUGCCACUGGAUAGAGGGGAUGAAAUCGCUUGAAAACGAUAUAAAGAUCAUUGGAAUCGGAGCUACGGUUUGGAAAUGGCGAGCGUUUUAAGAUACGACACCGGUCUGCGAUUUACAGCAAGUAGGCAUCUAAAUGCAACGAAAUGAACAUGCUACAGCCACCAAACAUGGAAACAAAAUAUAUGGAAGUGAUUUACACAAGAUGGUUGACAAAACACUAGCACUGAGCCAUAGGCAAAUUCAUCCAUUAAGAGGUUCAAACAAGCAUGGUUAAAACGCAAAUGCAAAACAGAUUCCAGACUUAGUGAAAUUAACACUAGUCUGAAAUUUCAGAUCACGAUGCUCUCUUCGGAGCAGCAAAACAACAUGAUAGAAAACCUGAACAUGACAAGUAAGAACAUGGCAUGGAGCUACUCAACAAUCUUAACAAAACACCCAAAGUGACCUGGGGCCAAAAGGGUUCACAAAAUACUCUACCGAGCUCACGAACAUAGCUCGAACACAAUCAGCUUUCAGACUUAGUGAAAACUGAGACACGCUGAAAUAUAACUCACGAAGGCAUGUAAACGAGCUCGAUGCACUCACUACGGUGCAAGUCAUGGCAAGGAAAGCAUAUAACCAGCAAGAAGGCACAAUGUGCUAGCUACACAUGGCAAGAACAAAGGCAUAGCAUGCAUGGAACACUAACGGUAGCAUCGGCAAAAUCGCAAACAAGUUGACGAUCUGCCCAGAUUAACAACGAAGCAAAAGUUGAGCUCGAUUGAGUCAACCUAGAGCACUCCACAUGUGCAAACAAAGACAUGGAUGGAUAGAGCAUAACAUAAGUAUCAAAAUUCCCUUACUGAUCAUCCUCAAAAGAGGCACGGAUCACUAGGAAACAAGCUGGACAUAUAGCAUCAUGAACUAAAAUAUCCCAGACUUAGUGAAAAUCACUAAGUCCCUGAAAUCUGCAAUCUCAGGUACCUCUCUUCGCAAGCUUGCACAAGACAACACACACAUCCUAAAAAUACAUGGGUGGCACCUCUGGAAAGAAGACAAAAUUCUUAACAAUUCAUCCCAAAGGGACACAGGCAUAUCAUGCACGAAUUAAACAUGGCAAAAAUGACAAAAGUGCAUGAUGAACUAACGGAUCUGCAAUUUAACUCACGAAGCCUCCUUCUAACAGCAUUUUGGGCAUCAAGAUGACCUCAAAUGCAAAUUAUGCAAUGGAAUGAAAUGAUGUACAUGUCGAGGCGAAGAUUUUGAUAUAUCAUAUGCCCAAAACGGAGCUACGGCUGCGGAGAUACAGGCAGUCAAAGAAUGCNNNNNNNNNNNNNNNNNNNNNNNNNNNNNNNNNNNNNNNNNNNNNNNNNNNNNNNNNNNNNNNNNNNNNNNNNNNNNNNNNNNNNNNNNNNNNNNNNNNNNNNNNNNNNNNNNNNNNNNNNNNNNNNNNNNNNNNNNNNNNNNNNNNNNNNNNNNNNNNNNNNNNNNNNNNNNNNNNNNNNNNNNNNNNNNNNNNNNNNNNNNNNNNNNNNNNNNNNNNNNNNNNNNNNNNNNNNNNNNNNNNNNNNNNNNNNNNNNNNNNNNNNNNNNNNNNNNNNNNNNNNNNNNNNNNNNNNNNNNNNNNNNNNNNNNNNNNNNNNNNNNNNNNNNNNNNNNNNNNNNNNNNNNNNNNNNNNNNNNNNNNNNNNNNNNNNNNNNNNNNNNNNNNNNNNNNNNNNNNNNNNNNNNNNNNNNNNNNNNNNNNNNNNNNNNNNNNNNNNNNNNNNNNNNNNNNNNNNNNNNNNNNNNNNNNNNNNNNNNNNNNNNNNNNNNNNNNNNNNNNNNNNNNNNNNNNNNNNNNNNNNNNNNNNNNNNNNNNNNNNNNNNNNNNNNNNNNNNNNNNNNNNNNNNNNNNNNNNNNNNNNNNNNNNNNNNNNNNNNNNNNNNNGAGGCGGGCGGCGGCGGACGUUGUCCGGCCGGGGGCGGACACGUCCGUCGGUGGAGAUCUGUUUUUUUUUAAACUAGGGUUUCGGACGGGGGAAGAAGAGAUCUGAAUGGAGGGGCGUAUAAAUAGGCAUAGAGGGAGCUAGGAGAGUCCAAAUAAGGUGCGGUUUUCGCCCACACGAUCGUGAUCGAACGCUUUAGUACAUGGAGUAGAGUUUGGUGGGUUUUGGGCCAAAUUUGGAGGGUGUUGGGCUGCAACACCCACGAGGCAUUUUCGGUCCCUCGGUUAACCGUUGGAGUAUCAAACGAAGUCCAAAUGACCCGAAACUUGACAGGCGGUCUACCGGUAGUAAACCAAGGCCGCUUGGCAAGUCUCGGUCCAAUCCGGAAAUGUUUAAACCCCACACACGAAAGAAGACUAGAAAUGACCACCGGAGGAGAACGAAGCGCCGGAAUGCAAAACGGACAACGGGGAAAAUGCUCGAAUGCAUGAGAUGAACAUGUAUGCAAAUGCAAUGCACGUGAUGAUAUGAUAAGAGAUGCACGAAAAAGAAAACAACACACGGAGACAAAGACCCGAACCCGAGAAAUAAAUAUAACUUAGCGCCGGAGACGGCAAGAGUUGGAUACAAAUAUGGAAAGUAUAUCUGGGGCGUUACACGGGGAGGCGAGGCGAGGGCCAGGGAGGCGAGGCGAGGCAGUGGCACGCGGUGGCCGGGGCGGCGGCCGGCGGCGGGGGAAACGGCGGCGGCACGGGANNNNNNNNNNNNNNNNNNNNNNNNNNNNNNNNNNNNNNNNNNNNNNNNNNNNNNNNNNNNNNNNNNNNNNNNNNNNNNNNNNNNNNNNNNNNNNNNNNNNNNNNNNNNNNNNNNNNNNNNNNNNNNNNNNNNNNNNNNNNNNNNNNNNNNNNNNNNNNNNNNNNNNNNNNNNNNNNNNNNNNNNNNNNNNNNNNNNNNNNNNNNNNNNNNNNNNNNNNNNNNNNNNNNNNNNNNNNNNNNNNNNNNNNNNNNNNNNNNNNNNNNNNNNNNNNNGCACAGACCCGGGCGGCGGCGGCGGAUCUGGGCCCAGGCGGGCCCGCGAUGGGCUUCCCCAGGUCGCGCGGUGGAGACGGUGGCGUGGGCGAAUUGGAAGGCGACACAUGGCAGCGGCGAGGGGGCUGGACAUGUCCGGCGGCGGAGCGAACAUGUCCGGCGUGGUGAGGGAGGAGACUGCUAGGGUUUCGGGGGGAUUAGACCGCGAAUUUGGAAGGGGGAGGCACUUUUAUAGGCAGAGGGAGCUAGAAGGGUCCAAAUGGAGCACGGUUUUCGCCCACACGAUCGUGAUAGAAUGACUGAGAGCAAGGAGGGGGUUUGGAUGGGUUUUGGGCCACUUUGGAGGGGGUGCUGGGCUGCAAAGAGAAAAGGGGUUUCGGGCUAAGCGGUUAACCGUUGGAGUAUCAAACGACCUCCAAAUGACACGAAACUUGACAGGCGGUCUACCGGUGCUAUACCAAGGCCGCUUGGCAAACCUCGGGCCAUUCCGAGAACGUUUUUAACCCGCUCACGAAAACAAGGUCUGAGAGGGGCGACGGGCGGGUGCGAGAGGUCUGGACUCCGAACGGACAACGGAGAGAACCGGGAGAACCCGAACGGAUGCAAGUUUUGAAAAACAUGCAGAUAAAAUGCAGAUGAUGACAUGGCAAAAUGCAACAUGCAAGCACAUGACAUGGCAACAACGACGAAUAACUGGCAGACACCUGGCGCAUCGGAUCCGGGGUGUUACAUCUAAGUCACAAACCAGAUACGUGUAUAUGUUGAAUCGUGGAGCAGUAAGCUGGUGCAGUUGCAAGCAGAGCGUCGUGGCGGGAUCUACAUGUGAAGCGGAGUAUAUGGCGGCCUCGGAGGCAGCGCAUGAAGCAAUAUGGAUGAAGGAGUUCAUCACCGACCUAGGAGUCAUACCCAAUGCGUUGAGGCCGAUCACUCUCUUCUGUGACAACACUGGAGCUAUUGCCCUUGCCAAGGAGCCCAGGUUUCACAAGUAGACCAGGCACAUCAAGCGUCGCUUCAACUCCAUCCGUGAAAAUGUUCAAGAUGGAGACAUAGAUAUUUGCAAAGUACAUACGGAUCUGAAUGUUGCAGAUCCGUUGACUAAACCUCUUCCGCGAGUAAAACACGAUCAACACCAGAACUCUAUGGGUGUUUGAUUCAUCACAAUGUAACUAGAUUAUUGACUCUAGUGCAAGUGGGAGACUGUUGGAAAUAUGCCCUAGAGGCAAUAAUAAAAGGAUUAUUAUUAUAUUUCCUUGUUCAUGAUAAUUAUCUUUUAUUCAUGCUACAAUUGUACUAUCCGGAAAUCAUAAUACUCGUGUGAAUACAUAGACCACAACAUGUCCCUAGUGAGCCUCUAGUUGACUAGCUCGUUGAUCAACAAAUAGUCAUGAUUUCCUGACUAUGGACAUUGGAUGUCAAUGAUAACGGGAUCACAUCAUUAGGAGAAUGAUGUGAUGGACAAGACCCAAUCCUAAGCAUAGCACAAAGAUCGUGUAGUUCGUUUGCUAGAGCUUUUCCAAUGUCAAGUAUCUUUUCCUUAGACCAUGAGAUCGUGUAACUCCCGGACACCGUAGGAGUGCUUUGGGUGUACCAAAUGUCACAAUGUAACUGGGUGACUAUAAAGGUAUACUACGGGUAUCUCCGAAAGUGUCUGUUGGGUUGACACGGAUCGAGACUGGGAUUUGUCACUCCGUAUGACGGAGAGGUAUCUCUGGGCCCACCCGGUAAUGCAUCAUCAUAAUGAGCUCAAAGUGACCAAGUGUCUGGUCACGGGAUAAUGCAUUACGGUACGAGUAAAGUGACUUGCCGGUAACGAGAUUGAACGAGGUAUUGGGAUACCGACGAUCGAAUCUCGGGCAAGUAAUGUACCGAUUGACAAAGGGAAUUGUAUACGGGGUUGCUUGAAUCCUCGACAUCGUGGUUCAUCCGAUGAGAUCAUCGAGGAGCAUGUGGGAGCCAACAUGGGUAUACAGAUCCCGCUGUUGGUUAUUGACCGGAGAGUAGUCUCGGUCAUGUCUACGUGUCUCCCGAAUCCGUAGGGUCUACACACUUAAGGUUCGGUGACGCUAGGGUUGUAGAGAUAUAAGUAUGCAGCAAACCGAAAAUUUUUCAGAGUCCCGGAUGAGAUCCCGGACGUCACGAGGAGUUCCGGAAUGGUCCGGAGGUAAAUAAUUAUAUAUGGGAAGUCAAGUUUCGGCCGUCGGGAAAGUUUCGGGAUUCACCGGUAUUGUACCGGGACCACCGGAAGGGUCCCGAGGGUCCAUCGGGUGGGGCCACCUAUCCAGGAGGGCCCCAUGGGCUGAAGUGGGAGGGGAACCAGCCCCUGGUGGGCUGGUGCGCCCCCCCUGGGCCCCCCUCUGCGCCUAGGGUUGGGAACCCUUGGGGAGGGGGUGCCUCCACUUGCCUUGAGGGGCAAGUUUCCCCCUUGGCCGCCGCCCCCCCCCCCCUAGGAGAUCCAAUCUCCUAGGGCCGGCGCCCCCCCUGGGGUCCCUAUAUAAAGAGGGGGGGUGGGAGGGCAGCCGCACCCUGACAACUGGCGCCUUCCUUCCCCCUUGCUACACCUCUCCCUUCCGCAGACGCUUGGCGAAGCCCUGUCGGAUCCCUGCUGCAUCCACCACCACGCUGUCGUGCUGCUGGAUCUUCAUCAACCUCUCCUUCCCCCUUGCUGGAUCAAGAAGGAGGAGACGUCACGCUGACCGUACGUGUGUUGAACGCGGAGGUGCCGUCCGUUCGGUGCUAGGAUCUCCGGUGAUUUGGAUCACGACGAGUACGACUCCCUCAACCUCGUUCUCUUGAACGCUUCCGCUCGCGAUCUACAAGGGUAUGUAGAUGCACCCCUCUCUCUCGUUGCUAGAUGAACUCAUAGAUUGAUCUUGGUGAACAUAGGAAAAAAUUUAUUUUAUGCAACGUUCCCCAACACCCUCUAGAUCUCAUCUAGAGAUCUAGAGGGGCCAGCCCCCUUCCCCCUUCUCCCUAUAAAUAGAGGGGUGGAGGGAGGGGUGUAGCACCACAUCCAAGGCGCGGCCUCUCCCCUCCCCAACACCUCUCCUCCUCCGCGUGAGCUUGGCGAAGCCCUGCCGGAGAACUGCCACUCCAUCACCACCAUGCCGUCGUGCUGCUGCUGGAGCCUUCUUUCUCAACCUCUCCCUCCUCCUUACUGUACCAAGGCGCGGGAGACGUCACCGGACUGCAGUGUGUUGAACGCGGAGGUGCCGUUGUUCGGCGCUUAGAUCGGAAUCCACCACGAUCUGAAUCGCUACGAGUACAACUCCUUCAUCCAUUUUCUUGUAACGCUUCCGUCUCGCGAUCUUCAAGGGUAUGAAGAUGCACUCCCCUCUCUCUUGUUGCUAGUUACUUCAUAGAUUGAUCUUGGUGAUGCGUAGAAAUUUUUUAAUUUCUGCAACGAUUCCCAACACUUAAUACUCUAGAUGCAUGCUGGAUAGCGGUCGUUGUGUGGAGUAAUAGUAGUAGAUGCAGAAUCGUUUCGAUCUACUUGUUGCGGACGCGAUGCCUAUAUACAUGAUCAUGCCUAGAUAUUCUCAUAACUAUGCACUUUUCUAUCAAUUGCUCGACAGUAAUUUGUUCACCCACCGUAAUACUUAUGCUAUCUUGACAGAAGACACUAGUGAAACCUAUGGCCCCCGGGUCUAUCUUUUAUCAUAUAAGUGUCCGAUCUACUUUAUUUUGCAAUCUUUACUUUUCAAUCUAUAUCAUAAAAGUACCAAAUAUAUUUAUCUUAUCUUAUUAUCUCUAGCAGAUCUCACUUUCGCAAGUUACCGUGAAGGGAUUGGCAAUUGCAAGGUUCUUGUUUGUUUGUGUAGGUACGAGGGACUUGCGUGAAGCCUCCUACUGGAUUGAUACCUUGGUUCUCAAAAACUGAGGAAAAUACUUACGCUACUUUGCUACAUCACCCUUUCCUCUUCAAGGGAAAACCAACGCAGUGCUCAAGAGGUAGCACACGCCCCCUCCUUGCCCAACAAGUCCUCUCCUCUUUUCUAUUGUUGGUUGUCGUUCGCACAGCCGCCACCGGAGUUCUGUCGUCGUCGUUGCGCCGUUGUCUCCAGGGCUUCACUAUCGGAGGCCAGAAUCUACAUUGCCGCCGACCGUAGUUCCCCACCACUGGACGUCACCCUGGUAUGUCUAACUCCCCAUAUAUACACCUCGUGCUCUACGUGUUCAAUGAAAUAUCCGAGCCAGAUUUUGAUUCUUUCGGUCAUUAUUCCUAGGUCACCAAUGGAUUCAUCGUGGAACGAUGGCUAUGGGGACUCUGACCUUGACGAAUUCAUAUUCAACGAGUUCAUCGCCUCGUUGGAUUCGAACAAUGAGGAUGACAAAAUGAUGAUGAUGAGCAUCCAACAGAAGUUGGAGAAGGAAGACGAGCACGUUAUGCACUAUAAACAAUAUUUAUGUUUGAACUAUGUUUGGAUCAUGUAUUCUUAAGUACGAACAAUUUGUAUUUGUAUGCACUGAACUAUGUUUGGCUAAGAUGAUCGACGUACAUGUGUUUGUAUGUAUUUGAUGUUUCCAAAGUAAGAAGUAUGGUUGCAAAAUGCAUUAUUUGAGAACAGCUUGGUCAUUGUCCGUGUCCGCGAAUCCUACUUGCUAGGUACUCUAGUUGACCUAGGACUAUUAGGAGUACAUCUGACAUAUUGGCAUCAAUGACCUGCACCAAAGAAGUUUCUAUACACACCUUAUAUUGGAAAAAUAAAAAUGAAUAAUUAUGAAAAAAAUAAAAAAAUCUAGAACUUAUUUCUGAUUAAAUUUGACUUUCUUUUGCACUAGUAUAUAUUUUUUAAAGAAACAAAACCCCGUUCAUUUUACCAUGAAGACAACGGUUUUUUUUUGCUUCACGGUGUUUUUUACAAAUACAAUAUACGGUCAAUUUUAUUUCGAAAACAUUCUUAUUUGUAUACAUGAAAAAGGUAUGAUAGGACAAGUGCAGGACCGAUUCUUCAUAAUAGGUUAGAUCACGCCAAUAUCAAUUCUUUUUAUUCCAAGGCGAAGAUUGAAUCACUUAGCCAACAUCCAGAAGCUAUUGGCACUUUGUUGAAUCGAAAUAAAGAAUACCACCGCAUCCAUAACCGUUUUUCAUUUGUGUGUAGAAAAAGCCACAUACCCUAUCAUAUUAUAUUACUUCCAUUGAAAAAUAAUAGACAAUCUUUUUUUUGCACAUAAAGAAAUAAAGAAGCCAUCGAAAUACUAAGCGUACUAAAGUCACGAAAAUUGAAGGUAAGUUUAAAUCCAUCAUGAAAUAGGUGGCUUUAUUCUUUAUUUAUUUCAUUUUGAUUUUCCCUCUUCCUCUAUCCCUAUCCUCUAGGUACAGCGUUUGCAUCAAUAGAGAACCUUUUCCUAUGUAUGAAUCUAUAUUAUUCCAUUCCAAUUUCUUCCCGAAACUUCCCAAGAAAAUCCCGAAUUGGAUCCAAAAUUGACAGGUUAAUGUGAGCUUAUCCAUGCGGUUAGGCACUCUUCAAAUAGGAAUCCAUUUUCUAACUGGCUUCAUGCCAUAAUGAAAACGCAAUUUCUGUUUUUCUUGAAGACGAAUACGAUAUUGCUCCUUUUUUCCAGAAUUGAAUAUUUUUUAACAUUACUUCCGGAUUUAGGUGUUUUUCUAGUGAGUCCUUGUAAAGCUCCCAGAGGGCGUAUUUUUUUUAAAUGAGGUCCUCGAUAACGGGACAUGAAGACUCCUUGUGUAUAUAGACCCAAGAACAAAACGUCCGUAUGUGAGUUUCGUUGACAAACAUUUGAUGGUAAUCUACGUUGUGACUUAUUAUCGAGAGCGGAUGUUUGGCUCCCAGGAGCCAUGGAGGCCUUUUUUUUGAAAACAAAUCAAAAUUCAAACUUUUCAGUUUCAAAAAAAUCUGAAAAAAAAUGUGCAAGUAAACAAGUAUGUUAUGCCUGUGUGUGUAAAAUUUUAGAAUGAAAACGUUGAAAUGUGACCUGUACAAAAAAGACAAAUUCAUGGCCUGGGAGGAUGAAUAGUAUCAUGUGUUAAAAAGUUCCAGGUUUGUCUUUUUUGCACAUCCCUCAUUUCAACUUAUUUUGCCCUGAAAAUUUACACACAUGUGUGUGUUAUGCCUUCAUGUAUAUGUGUGUGUUUUUUUCAGAAUUCUUUGAGAUGUAGAAAAUAUGAAAUUCGACAAAAUUCAAAAUUUUCAAAACCAAGCUCCAUGGAACUCGGCCUCCAAAGACAAUAUCCACUUAUUAUCUCCUUAUUUUAUCAGAAUUGCUAAAUUAAUUUAUCCACCUAACUAAUGAUGGAUUUCCUCCAACAUUUCUGUCUAUUUUUCUUAUCAUUUUACCCCUCUCGAUCUCUUGCUCAUUGCCUUAUAGUGUAGAAUUAAUCUAUAUAUUGGAGUAAAGUGAGGACGAAGAUACAGGGAUGGAAGGCUACCUGACAUUUGCUACAAUGGGACAUAACUUUAAAUGUUUUUUCAAUGGACUCGGUCCAACUAUGCCAUACAUUGAUAGGUAACAGUAGCUCGGAGAGUAAGAUGAGACCACAAGCCCGAUAUCCGAGCUCUACUUCAUUUUAUUUGUAAUGAAAAUAGAUAGCUUCAUUCGUCACCGAUACCCUUAGCUAGCUAUAGCUGCUAGUUACAGUCACAGGAGGCGGACGCCACUGUCAUCGGGUAGGGAAAGGAGUUGCCGUACUGAAACGACACAGGGAAGCUGGGCUCGAUGGUCCCGCCGCCAUUGACGAGGCAGUCGUGAAGGCGAGGCGGCGGAACUUGUCAGGGUCGAUGACAUCAUUUGAGGCGAAGUCGCCGCAUGCGACGUGGACGUCGCACACGGCGCAGUCGAUGCAGGUGUUGGUGAACUCCACGCUGUAGGUCGGCAUGCCGCCGGCCAUGCUCGGCCCGUUGAACUGGGAGACCUCCAGGAGGUCCUUGGAGCACUCCUCCAGCUCCAACGGCUCCGCCGAGUGACCUCCGCCGCCGUUCGAUGACAUGGAGGAUGCAUUGACGCCGAGCAUCUUGCGCAUCUGAUUCCGAGGCGGCCGCGGCAAGGAAGAUGCUGAAACUAGCAGAAACAAAACAAGUGAGCAAAAGAUGCGGAUGUAUGCUCACGUACGUACGACAUUCACUACCUUCACCGCAAGCUUGGAGCAGGAGCAUGGUGACGACGACCAAAGCCGCAGCGCUUGAAGAACACGAAAACACGCCAUGGAGCCUGCGUGGUCUAGCUCUGAGGCUGAUCUAACCCUUCU
rnacentral:lncRNA from 1 species